rnacentral:lncRNA from 1 species
UUAUUAUUUUGUUGGAAUAACCUGUCUAUGUGGAUUACCGCAUGCAUGGUGAAUGACCUUUCGUAUUCAUUCUUUAUAAAAUUGUGAAAAUAAUCUGUCUACGUGGAUUACCGCAUGGCGGGUGAAAAUCCAUUUGCAGUUUAGUAUAUUCUAUUAUACUCGUAUGAGAUAACAUUUCUUUUGUACUUGUCAUGGAAUAUUAUUUUCUUUGGUAUUUUUCUUUUACGAGUUACUACUCAUGGUUUACUAUUCACUCUAGUAUUAUUCACUCGGAUAUUUGGGGCACUUUUCGUGCCGCUAUUCACGAGUUACUAUUCACCUGAUUACUAUUCACUCUAGUAUCAUUCACUCGGGUAUUCAGGACACUUUUUGUGUCGGGGUACUAUUCACGGGGUACUAUUCCCGAAGUACUAUUCACCCAAAAAAUAUAUUUCUUUUCUGUCCAAAUUAUUUUUGGUACAUGAAUAUUAUUCUUGAAUUUUACUCUACAAAGCAGUAUCAUGUUGACAAUUUGGACGUUAUUGAUUUCUGGAUAAAUUAAAUUAUAAAUCUUUAAAAUUUAUCCUUGAACUUGUUUUAUUGAAUUAUUAUGUCAUUGUCAUCAUCCCCAUGCUUAUAUUGUGAUUAAAGUCAUCUUUGGCUUAUGUGCAUUGAUGGACUUGGUAUAAUUAUGAUCAUGGAUUAUUUAGAAUAAUCAUUACCGUAAUGUGACGAAUGAUAUGGUAAAAGUCCUCAUUGGCCUGUAGUUCAUUGAUGGACAGUUGUUGGUAUGAUUAUGACCAGGGAUUAUUUGGUAUAAUCAUGACCAUUGAUGAUUACUUGAAUAUCCUUGGUCGUGGUGCAGGAAUGAUUUGAUUUUAUUUAUUAAGCUGAGUCUCAGCGAUAAGGUUGAUGAAAAACUUUUUAAAUCAUAGAAGAUAGUAUAUUUUAUGCUCUACUUGACUCUUCUAAUGGAUUGUUUAUUUCCGCUUCAGUUGUUGAUCUAAAACUUGUUGUCUAUUUUAUUCUAUCAGUUGUUAUACUGUUGAAGGCUAAGGAUAAUUUAUUCUGCAUUAUCUUAGUCAUAAUAUUUCUUACUGGGCUAGUUGAGCUCACCCGUUCUUUCAUUGUUCUCUUCAGGAAAUGAGAAUAUAGCUAGGACGAGUCGGGAAAUGGAGUGAUGGUCCAAGAUAAAUGGCUUUAGUAGUCCUCACUAUUCUACGAAAUAAUGUGAUAAUAAUUGUAAUGAGGACACCAUUGAGUGUGGAUAUUGUCUAGAUGACAAUAUUCUUGUUUAAACUCUCAGCUAUGUUUUGUCGUAUUUUACACAACUGUUGUAUAAUUAAGUUGUAUUUGAAUUUUGCUACUCAGUUCUUUCGAACGUAUGCUUAACUGCAACUGAUUAGCACAACCCAAGAACUCAACUCUCAUAAAGUGUAUUCUAAGUCUGUUGGACUUGAAGAGUUCUAAGUGAAUUAAGAAGUUCCAAGACUGCUGGUCUUGAAGGAAUCUGAGUGAUUCAAAGAUUGUAAAGAUAUCCUUAGUGGAUUUCCUACUCAAGGAGUAGAAGAGUGGACUAGGAGCCUUGAAUUCUCUGAACCACUUAAAAUUACUGUGUUUCUUAUAUACCUGUUAUAACUGCUAUAUUUGUCAUAGUUGCUUAUCACCUAUAAACUUGGUUUAUCUUAAAGGGGAACAAACAAAUCAUAUAUUCCGUUAUGGUUAAUUUAUUAAUAAAUCUGACAAGUAUUUUAAAAAGAAAAAGUAUUUAAAAUAUCUAUUCAGAUACUAUUGUGUCUCUGGGAACUAACAGAGAUACCUUUUGUACAACACCCUAUUCGUAAAUCUGGAAGAGUACCGAAUAUACCUAAUAGGUAUGGAUUCGUCAUAGAGGAUGACGAUGAGGUACACAUCAUAAAUGAUGAUGAUCCAUUGAAUUACAAACAUGAUGUGACGCCCCCAAAUCUGGGUACUUUCAACCCACAGAUAUGGUGCUACACGGUACUCCUAUCUAUACAUUCAUUCCAUUGAAACAACAUCAAAAUGAUUGUAUUUACUAAAUUCUUAUUACAAUAAUAAUAAUAAAAAUAAUCCUUUCCCGGGUUCUGUAACCGAAUACAUUCUUUAUUAUCAUAAUAUGUUUCUUACAAACAUACUAAUCUAUUACAAGAUAAUCUACUUAUCCAUCUUAGCUUUGCCUUUAUCCCUACUGGGAUCAUCAGUUCUUUUGGCCUUAGCUGCAAUCAUAUAAUUCAAGCAAGAAGUGAGCAUAACUAGCUCAGCAAGUCUAACAAAGGAUAAUACAAAUACCUCAUCGAGAAUUAUAUGAUUAUCUUCCAUAACUGAACAAGUAGCUAUAAAGUACUAUGAAACAUUACUAUCACUUCUCAUUUCAUAAAUACAAUUCCAGAGUAUAUAUAAUAGCUUAGAAAGUCUGAACUGGUCGAAAGACCAUGAACAUUCUCUUUUUGUUUUCAUACAUGAAAAUGACAUCCCGGCACUAAGUCUGUACAUCCGAUAUAUCUUACGAGCACUUCUAGGUGAUCAGCCUAUAGUACUCUAUGUUGAUCAACACUUUUCCGUUAAACGUAUUUACGUUUAAGUUUUGGCAACCUCACGUGCCCAUCGAAUAAUCGAUGAAAAUACAUUUGUUUGUUCAUAUACAAACUUACCUUAAAUCCGUACCAAAUACUUAGCAUAGGAUAGCGUUAACAAUUUUAUAUCGAAAGACUUGUAAACAAAUCAAUCUAACUACGAUUUGUGCAGCGCGGCCAUUUGUGCUUGGGUUGGCGCUACGUCGCUUCCCAUGAGCCUUUGAAAAAAAUUUCAAAUUUUAACUACGAUUCCUCUCAAACUCAUAACUUAGUCGUUUUAAGUAAGAAUUGGCUCGUUCAAAAGCCAUUUUCUUACACGUAACAUAUACAUCGAUUUCAUCCGGACAAAAAUAGUUUGUAAAUCUGUUAACGAUGAAUUCACUAUUAACGUUCUAAUAACACGUUCGUUAAAUGUUCUUGAGCGUUCAAAGCUCGUUUGCUUUGUUAUAAGUUAGAAUUCAUCUGUUCUUGAGUCCACAACUUUUGAAUACGUUAUACUAUGCUAUACCAUCGAAAACCAAGGUUUCUGAACUAAAAGGCAAGUUUUGAUUACUAAUCCGGAAUUAUACAAUUUUGACGUUUAACGUCUAAUUUCGUAAAAUUCCCCAUAACUUCGUACUCGUGUUUUCUAUGCCAAAUCAAAUGGACCCAAUCCAUUGAUUCAUUGUCUACAUCCUAACCAAUCAAUAUGCACAUACCCUAUCAAUGGUGGUUUUCAAUUUAUCCAUCAACACCCAAGUCAACGUUCAAUGGUUUCUUCGAUUUAAAUUUACGUAAACACUUACGAUUUCUACUUACACAUGACUUAUCAAUGUUUUAAUCAUUAAUAGCCAUCCUUAUUCCUCCACAAGAGACAUACUCCACCAAUCUAUGAUUCUCUACAAAAAAAAUAAAUUUAGACGAAUCGAAACUAAGGUUUUACGAAUUGUUACCUUUAUGUUCUUCGCGUUCUUGCUAAAAACUCUUAUGAUUUACUUCGAGAUCACUUGAUUACUUGUUUCUAGCUCUUUUCUCUCUCUCAAAUAUGUUGGUCAAAGUUUGUAAAACAAUAAAUGAACUAGCCAAGCUUCUUUUUAUAGGAAUUUCAAAUGGAGGGUAAAAUGGUUAAUUGGUGACCUCCUUACUAUUCACCACCACCACAACAACUUAGCCACCAAGUAACUGAUAAGUAGGUUUUAUACCUACUUAUCCGGUAUCUGUUACUUGAAUUAGUUGCUUAUAUUCAUGUUCUUAGUUACUUUUCAUACAUUUUAUGUUAUUUUGUAGGCUUUGACAUGACAUUGGCAUGAAGAAGCAAGGAUAAGCAAUUCGGACAUCUUUUGGACUAAAAUAUGCAAGCAAAUGCAAGAAAGGAAUAUUGAAGGACUUUUAACACCAAGUUAGAUGUAUGUUCUUGGCUUGGAACUUGGAUUUUAUGGUAGCUCUACUUCUUAGCUUUUCAGAACAUCUUGAAUCAUCCCAAUCGGAGUUCGGAUGUGAGAGUUAUGUCCUUUUUAUCAACGAAGAUCAAAGCUAAGAGUUGUCAUACUUGCCAAUUACAUAGCAUCUACUUCAAGCCCGGUUUCUACCUUGAUUGAAUUCGAAUUUGUCAAAGCUCAAAGAAUCACAGUUAUAGAUCUCAUCGAUAUCUUCGAUUUGAUAGGUGGCAGGCCCCGUAACUCCAAGCGGAUCAAAAGUUAUGUCUGUUUUACCAAAGGACGUCGCAGCAGAAACUACGCGUAGCGCGGACCGCGCUAGAGGCGCGCUAGGCCACCAGAAACACUGCAUGCACAGCGCGGAGCGCGCCCAGAAAGGCUUAGCAGCAACGCGGAGUGCGCUAGGCGACAGGAAUAGAGUGAAAUUGGGUUAUUUGAUGUCCAAUUUGAGCUAGAAUAGGAUUCUUAGUUGCUUAACUUGUUAGGGUGUCCAUUAGAACUCUAAAUACUUGAGUUUUACUUGGAUUGGGAGGCUAAUUCUAAGACUUUAUAAAAUCCCUAUUGGGAUAGAUUUCUAUUAUCUAAUUCUUUACUUUCUUCCUUAGAUUAGGAACCCAAGAUUAGAUUAGAAGGGGAGAUUAAAGCAACUUGGACACCAUUGAAGAUCAAGAGCAGGAGCUUGAGGAAGAUGGAGAUUUGCUGACAACAGAUUUAAUCUUUACUCUACUCUUAUUCUUAUCUUUUAAUGUUAUUUCAAGUGUGGAUUCUUAGUUUUAAUUCAAUGAACUAAUUCUUUGUUUGAGAUUACAAUGGAUCUUAUUGUGUAAUUUAUUUUAAUAUGCUUCGUUAUCAAUUAUUAUGUUCUAUUGUGAGGAUUGUCUAUUGUGAUUUGGACUUAAUUGUUUAAUUAAUUGGCCAUCAAUUACCGUGAUAAUCUAUAUGAACUCGAGGGAUGAAGUAUAGAUUUAGAUCUGAUCAUGAUAGCAUGUGUUCAGGAUUUUGUUAGUAGCUUAAACUUGAUGUGUGUUUAUGAUAGAGAUAUGCCUUUAUACCGCAUGUAAUCGGAUAGAGAACUUGUUCUUAAACUUUCUUCAAUUAUAAUUCACAUAGAGAUAUAGUGGGUUAGUUGAUUAAGGUGUUUAACGGAUUUCUAUCUUAAUUGUGGAUUGACGUUAAUACGGUAUUAGUGCAUCGAGAGGUGGUUAAUACUACUUUAGUGUUCUUGAUUAACAAUUUGGGAUAGAGAAUAAUUGAUGAGAAGUGUGUUAACUUAAAUGAAGCAAUAAGUGAAGUUGUGAUCUUAAAUCUCCGUUAUCUUAAUUUAACUAGUGGAAGUUAAUAGUAGUUUAAUUUAUAUAUUUUAAAAUUCAUUCAUUUAAAUAAGAUUGAGUUGGUUACGGGUUAGUACUUGGUGAUUUUUAUUAAAUAAUUCUCUGUGGGAACGAUACUCUACUUAACACUUUAUUACUUGUUGACCACGUAUACUUGCGUGUUGUGCGUAUAUAGAUUUUACCCAACAGUAACCACUUUACUUGGUGACCAAGUGGCCGGCCCACAUGCCUUGUGGGCCCCCCAUGGGUUGCCCCAUGGUUUUUACCCAUCCGGUGACCCAUCGGUUCGAUCCGCGGUUCGGUUUCUUGGAUCGGGACUUAGAAUUAAUUUAUAUUGGGCCUAACUUGGGCUUGAUAUAAUCCAAGUCCAAUUGGAUUCUACAAAGUUCUUAAACUCAAAGUCCAAUAAGAACUAAUCGUAUUCUACGUGUAUAACUCACGUAUUCUCUUCGUUUAGUAUUCGUACGAUAUUCGUAUUAUACGUCGUAAUAUUCUCCAUACUAUACUCGUAUACUAACUAGUAUCAUACUCGUAUAACACACGUAUAAUAACCCUAAUCAUUAUACGCAUUUCAUUUCCUUCUCGGAAUUCACUUUCCCUAACUCUUAGCUUUUGAGUCCGCAAGCGAAAACUUCGUUCGCCAUAACUGAAAUAUUAUUGGAUAUUCCAUCUCGUCUUAGAAUUCUAUCAUUACGCGUUUUUCAAAAUUUCAAACUUAAUUCCCGAACAAAAAUGGAUGAAUAGUAUUUUUACGGAAAUUUCUCGGAAAACUUUUAUUUUUGUCUUGGAAAUUCAAAACAAUUAAUCCUAGCACAUAGCCAGAAUCCUAACCACAUCCGCACAUUCUAGGUCAUAGAACGACCUUCAUACAGCUUACUCACAUAAAUAAUCAAUUAAAUUCAUUUAAUCCAAAUAAUCAAAUAAAAAUUUAAUUCUAAUAAAAAUUCGAUUUUUUCGGGCGUUACACAUGCUAUCAGUACUAAAGACUCGGAGAAAUUGCUAUAAACCAUGAAAUUCGAGAUGGACUCCAUGUUUGAAAGCCAAGUAUAGACUUUGGUUUCACCACUUGAAGGUAUUAAGCCUAUUUGGUGUAAAUGGGUCUUUAAAAUAAAGACUGGAGCGGACGGCAAGGUAGAGACCUGUAAGGCCCGACUGGUUGCAAAAGGUUUCAAACAAAGACAAUGAGUUGACUAUGAUGAAACUUUCUCACCAGUAGCUAUGCUCAAGUCCAUUCGGAAUUUGCUUACGAUUUCAGGUUACCACUACUACGAAAUCUGACAGAUAGAUGUGAAAACGACCUUCCUCAAUGGGAAACUUGAGGAGGAUGUGUAUAUGACACAUCUAGAGGGAUUUGUCUCAACGGUUGGAACAAAUCAAGUCUAUAAGAUACAACGGUCUAUUUAUGGGUUGAAGCAAGCUUCUCGUAGGUGGAACAUCCGUUUUGAUGAAAAAAUCAAAGAGUUUGAUUUCAUCAAAAAUGAGGAUGAACAAUGUGUGUACAAGAAGGUUAGUGGGAGCGCUGUUUCAUUCUUUGUAUUAUAUGUUGAUGAUAUAUUACUGAUAGGGAAUGAUAUUUUUAUGCUAUAAUAAAUUAAAAUCUGGUUAUCUAAACACUUCUCCAUGAAGGACUUGGGAGAAGCAUCCUAUAUUUUUGGGAUAAAUAUGUAUAUAUAUAUAUAUAUAUAUAUAUAUAUAUAUAUAUAUAUAUAUAUAUAGAUCUAAAAGGAUGCUUGGCUUGUCCCAAGGAACGUACAUUUACACGAUGCUAAAGAAGUUUAUCAUGGAAAUUUCCAAGAGAGGUCUCAUGUCGAUGAGCCAUGGAAUACAUAUCUCCAAGAAAUAGGCCCCAAAGACACCUGAGGAGAGAGACCGUAUGAGUAAGAUCCCUUAUGCUUCAGCAAUAGGAUCUAUCAUGUAUGGUAUAAUAUGUACUGGACCUGAUUUCGCUCAUGCACUUAGUGUAAGAAGCAGAUAUCAAUCAAAUCCUGGAGAAGAGCACUAGAAGGCAGUGAAAAAUAUCAUAAAGUACUUUAGAAGAACUAAGGGUGUUUUUCUACGGUGGGUCUAAAUUGAAACUCAAGGGCUAUACAGACUCAAGUUUUCAAAAGGACCAAGAUCACAGUAAGUCUAUUUCGGGGUAUGUAUUUACCUUAAACGGUGGCAAAGUGAGUUGGAAGAGUUCCAAAUAGCAAACAGUUAUUGAUUCAGUGACAGAGGCAGAGUACAUAGCUGUAAGUGAAGCUGCAAAGGAGGCUAUUUGGAUGAAGAAGUUCAUAACCAAACUUAGCAUGGUUCCUAGCAUUAGUGGAGUAAUACCUUUAUAUUGUGAUAACACCAGAGCUGUUGCGCAGGCCAAGGAACUCAGGUCUCAUCAGAAAUCCAAACACGUGUUGCAGUGGUUUCAUUUGAUUAAAGAAAUCAUUGAAAGAAGAGAUGUCACCCUGGAGCGUGUGGACUCUCAAGACAACAUUACAUAUCCAUUUACUAAAGCGUUAACACAACAACAGUUUGAUCAUCAAUUAGAGAAGAUGAGUCUGAGGUACCAUGGCGAUUGACUUUAGUGCAAGUGGGAGAUUGAAAGUAGUAUGCAUACAAGUCAAUCAUGUAUGAUGAUAAAGCAUAUACUUUGUAAACAAUCUUAUUAUUUUAUUAAUAAAAGUAUUUAUUUACUAAAAGCAUUUAAUUUAACUACAUGGCGUUGUUUUAAUAAUAUGUGAUAAACUCAUAACUUUAACCAAUUCUUUUAGAAUCAUGAUGAGAUCAUGCUAAUGAGAUCUAAAUUCUUAGAUAGCUUAAAAACUAAAAUGUUAGUGAAUCUAGAUAGAUUGGUACAUAUGUUGCUUGCUCAUUGGAUGAGAAUGAUUGAUCUCAUGAUCAUUUGUGUGGAGAUACUAAAGCAAGUAUGUAGGUGCUUAUUGUAGAAUAAAUUCACUGAACGUGGCUCGCUAAGGAAUACCUAAUGGAGUUUUACUUGCCUGUCAAUAGGAAUUCCUGAAGUGAUAGUAGUACAACUGAUCCUUAGACUUGAGAUCAUCAUAUUAUCUUGUGUAUAAUGAAUUAUACUUUGACUUAUUCCUUAAGACCCUUAGGGUAUAUCAAAGGGUAUGCUUGGGUGUAAUAAGUUAUAUAUGGAGAUAAUGAAUGAUCAAUAAAGAAUCUACCGCUUCUAGUAAAAGAAGAGAUAUGUCCAAUGUGAUUCAAUAAAUGACAACCCAGGAAUCCUUGACCAAGGUGGAAUGAAAUUAGAAAGGAGUUUCUAAUUUACAUUUAUUCGAAGUUGUGCAUUUGUGAAUCAAAAUACAUAUAAUUAAAUAAAAUAAGACUUGACAAUAAUUUUAUGUCUUAUAUUUAAUUGGGAUAUUGUAUGGUGAAAGGAUUGAAUUGUACGGUAACUAUUUACUCAAAAGUUCUUUUAUGAUUAAUGUUAAAAUCAAUAUUAUCUGGAAAGUCGUUGAUCGCUAAGGAGGCUUGUCCUUAUUGUAGAAUAAAUGUUAUUUAUUUAAAUAAAUAAAUAGUUUAAUUUAUUUAUUUAAAUAAGAUUAAAAUUGUUCUAAUUGAUUUAUUCACAACCUGUUUAAUAUGGAGAACCUAAAGGGUCACACCAUAAAAGAAAGAAUAUUAUUUAAGAAGUAAAUGGCAUAAUUAUAAUAAUAAGUUAACUGUAUUUAAUUUAAUCUAUGGUGAUAAAAUUAAUUAAAUAGUUUAAUAUUUCAUAUUUUGAAAAUAUUAAAUAUUAAUUAAUAAGAGGAGUCUUAUUUUUAUUAUUACUAUUAUUAUUAAGUUAAUUCCUAAAGUUGUUCGAGAAUUAAUUAAUAUUAGUACUCUCAAAUAUUUCUAAUAAGAUUAAGAGGCUAAUUAAUUAAAAGGUUUAAUUAAUUAUUCCUAAUGAGAUUGGGAAGUCUAAUUAAUUAAAGAAGUUUAAUUAAUUAAAUAAAAACCCAAUUCCUAAAUAGUUUAGGAGGGUUCCCUAAAUCUAUAAAUAAAAAAGUCUUUUUUAUGGAAAUAGGAUGAAAAAAAAGAUACGUUCUUUAUUCCAAGAGUUGGGAGAGAACACCUUUUUCUAUCAGAGAUAGGAAAAACUAGGGUUUAGUCAAACACCCUUCUUCUUGAGUUUUGUUCUUCCUUAGUGGAUCACCUCUAGAGACCAAACGUUUGGGUGGCUAACGUUGAUCAAAGAAAGGAAUCAAUCCCGCGUAUUUAAGGAGAGCACGAAGGACUGCGAGUUGAACUUGUACCUGAGGAAACUCGAAUCUUUACGGGUAUGAUUCUGGUUCUCCUACUCUUUUAUAGAUUGAUAAUCAAGCACAAGAACGAUCAUGGUUUAUGAUUUGUAAGAAAAUUUUAAAAUCCAACUUUAUUACGCUUCCGCUUCGUUUAUGUAAUUUGAUUGCAUGUUCAUGUUUCUAUCAAACCUAACAGAUAUUAGCGGUCGGGAUUGACACUCAAAUUCUGAAUUCUUCUGAUGAUGAAUCCGAAGCCGAAGACAUCCCUCCUAACAACUGAUAAUUGCUUGUACUUUUUCUUCUUUUUAUUAUGUAAUCAAACCUCCAUGCACAAAUAUUGAAAAUGAAUAAAAAUAAUUUUUCUAAAUUAUAAUGUUGAAUUUUAUUGAUAACUUAAUUAAUUUAAAAGGUUAUAGAAAUUAAAUAAUAAAAGUUACUAGUAAUACUUCUGAACCCUCUCUGCAUGCGAAGUGUUUUUAAUUUUUGUUCCAUCCAUAUCCCAAAGCAGGUAAGUCUCUAGCUUCGGCACUUCUAUAACCUCAUAUGGACCUUCCAGAUUAGGUAUUAACUUCCCAACAUUUAGGGCUGCAGAAGCCUCCAUCUCCCGAAGAACUAAUAUCCAACUUCGAAUCUCCUUAGCUUGACACCGAGAUUGUAAUGUCAACCCAUUCUUCGUCUGAUUGUCUAUUCUAUUUUAGUUAUUAUCUAACCUGGGAUAGUUAGUCCUAUCCCAAUCUCUAGGCUUAUCCGAAGACUGAAUGCAAAUUUAGGCACCCCAUAGCUUCUUUAAUAGCGAUAAAGCCUUCGGCCCUAUCAUAUGCCUAUGACAAAUCCUUCGGCGAGUUGAACAUUAUAUCCUUCAUUAAUUUUUUUUUACUUUACCACAUCUAGUCCGUGGUUAAAAAAUUGAGGGCCUGAGGGGCGUCAGCUCUGUCACUGUCCCGACUGCUUCUCGGAACCUCUUCACAUAUUGGCUCAGGCUCUCGUCCAAACAAUGUUUAACUUGCAUGAGGGAAGCCGUCACCUUACCCCUCCUCUUAUUGCUACCAAAUUUUUCAUGGAAUUUUUCACACAACUCCUUCCACUAGUUGAUAAAUUUUGGCGAAGCGACAUCAUCCAUUUCAUUGCCUCUUUCCUCAGGGUGGUGAUGAACAUCUAACACUUGGCAGAAUCAGAAUGAUCAUAAAACCUCAUAAGCCAAUCAUAUGCUUGGGUAUGGUCAUAGGGAUCACUAAUGUCAUCAUAACUCGCAAAGUACUGAACCUUCUUACUGGGAUCGGCCUGAACCCGAUCAAUUUAUAGGGUAAAAGGUGAUGUCGGAUUAACUGUUGCAUCCUUUUCUUGGUUGACCGCUACUAGCUUCUGCUCUAACUCAGCUAAUCUACAAACGAGGGGGUCGGAUUCCUCCUUCCGGGGGGAUGGCCUACGUUGAUCUCGAGUAUGUUCUAGAGAAGCCACCCGUCGACUAUGUCCUAACCUCCCCCAAUCCUCAUUGUUUCCUUCUCGGGAGCGGCUCCUCCGCCUACUCCUACCGUACUGAGAAUGAUCCAAACGAUGUGUCCUGGAUCGGUCCUCUGGCGUAGCUUCCUGAUGAUGAUGCCGAGUCGAGUAAACCUUUUCUUCUUCUAUCAACUUAGCCACAUGAGCAUCCAACUCUUUUUAAUAAAGUCGUAGGGCCUCCAUAGCAUUCUUAUUCUCCAGUAUCUUUCGGGUUAAGAUCAACUCCCUUUUGUCCCGACCGUCCUACUUAGAACUUUGAUCUCCUUGAGUGUGUACCCGAGACUGAGUAUUCUCAGCACGACUAUGGGAACCUCGGGCUUUCUGAUUAACCAAAAAUAAUUAUCACUGGAUCGAGGCUGUCUUAUCCUUCGUGGGGCCCACAGAGUGGCUGCCAGGACCGAGCCUAUCUACGAUGUUCUUGGGAGGACCAGUCUAUCCUUGACCGAACCCCUAGGUUUAGUAGAAGGUUUGGACGAGGAUUUAUGUCGUUCAAAAACUGUAUCUGUUUUACAUGUCGCCAUAAUUCAUGUUGUAAGACCCCAACUUUUAUGAAUAAAGAUUAAUUUCUCUCGAAAUAUAUUUUUAAAUAUUAUGGUGUGGAUAUGAUAUAAUGUUAUAGUUGUGGGUAAUAUUUACAAAUUUUGCAAAGUAAGAAAGUGGUUAUAUAAUAUUCGAUUGGUCGGGGAAUAUUCAUUUUAGCAGGGAAUAUUCGUACGACGACACAACCAUUGGUGGACCCCACAACGGAACUAUUGUCGUAGUUAGAAAAUGAUAAAAUUAUCUUUUUAUAAAAAUAGCGGCGAAAGUUUUACCGUUAAACUGUUGAACUACCCGGUAGUAAAAGUAUAGUAAUACGCGUUGUUGCAUAGUAGCACACGGUAUUGAUUAUUGAUGCUUACGUAAGAAGUCACUCAGUUAUACUCAAUUAUUGCUAUAGUAAUUGUUGCAUCAUAUCUCUCAUAUUAUUGAUUCAAUUAUUGUCACAGUAUCAAUAUUUUAUAUUUUUAAAUCAUUAAUUGAGAUGACAAAGUUAUUCAUAUUAUUAUUUGCAAUAUUGAUAAUGUCUAAAAGUUCUGUCAAGGAGAGGUUUGGUCACCUAAUUGCGCGCCAAUAAGGAGAAAUCCUUAUCGGAAAGCCCCCUCUUUCCUGGGAACGACCUGGUUGUUAAAUAUUGUGAGUUAUAAUAUUAAUGAUGAAUAAGUUCGUGUUGAUUAAAGAUGAAAUUGAUAGUUCCAUUGUGUUGGGAUUAUUAGUAUUAAUGGAAAUCGACAUUUAUUUCGAUAAUAAUUGAUGGCUGGAAGUUAUACUUACCAAUCGGGUAAUUAAUCGAAUAAAUUAGCAAUUAAUUGCUAUUAAUUCACAUGUUUAUAACUAUUUGUUCACAUGUGUGUACUAUUGAUUCACAUUCAUGUACUAUUUGGGGAGGUGGUGCAAGAUUGAUAAUACUUGCAUGACUAAGUUAAAAAUAGAGGUAUAGAUGGAGGUACUAUAUUGUAAUUCGUAUAUUCACAUGUAUAGAACUAUUGAUUCACAUGAUUGUACUAUAGAUUCACAUGAUAUACUAUUAGGGGAGGUGGCGCAAGUUUGAUAAUACUUGCAGGACUAAAUUAAAAAUGAAGGAAAAGAUGAAGGUAUUAUACUGUAAAAUUUUGAGCCCCAGAACGUGCAAUUAUCGAAACAAUAUUUUCCUAUAAAUAGAAGCUUAUUCUUCCUUCAUUCUCACCAAUUCACUAAGACUCACAAGAGCAAUUAUAGAGAGAAAAGCUAUAUAGAGAGAAGCUAUAGAGAGAUAGAAGAAGAGCAGUCUGCUACUUCACUACUCGAGUAUCCAGUCUUCUUCUGAGGUAAGGGAUAUUAUUUAUUUCAUAUUCUGAAGAGAUAUUAUUUUUCGUAUUCGUAUGAAUAUUAUUUUCGUUCAAUAUUCAUAAAGAAUAUUAUCUUCGUUCAAUAUUCGUAGGAAUAUUAUCUUCGUUAAAUAUUCGUGGGAAUAUUAUUUUCAUUCAACAGUUGUAAGGGAUGUUAUUUUUGUUCAAUAUUCGCUUGAAAUAAUACUUUCUUCCAUACUCUGUAGUAUGUAAGUAAUAUUAUUUCGUUUCAGAUUUUGAAUUCUAUACUCAUUUUGUUGAAGUUUUACAACAUAUACUCCAUGAAAUUAGUAGAAUAUCCUUGAUAUUUGCGCUUCAUCCAGUAUCUUUUCAUUGAAAUAUUAUCCUGAGCUUUCUUGAUAAUUAUUGAUCUUUUCAUAACGGAAUACUAUUCAUGAGUUACUAUUUACGGGUUACUAUUCACCCGGUUACUAUUCACUCAAAUUUUAUUCACUCAGGUAUUCGGGGCACUUUUCAUGUCAGAGUACUAUUCACGAAUUAUUAUUCAUGGGUUACUAUUCACCCAAUUACUAUUCACCCGAAUAUUAUUCACUUGGGUAUUUGGGGUACUUUUCAUGUCGGGGUACUAUUCCCGAAGUACUAUUCCCAUGGUACUAUUCACUGGGUACUAUUUAUCCAAAAAAUAUAUUUCUUCUCUGUCCAAAUUAUUUUUGGUACAAGAAUAUUAUUUUUAAAUUUUACUCUACAAAGCAGUAUCAUGUUGACAAUUUAGAUAUUUUUAAACUCUGGAUAAAUUUAAAGUCUUUAAUAUUUAUCCUUGAUUUCGUUUGAAUUGAUUUCGUUUGAUUAAUGCUUAUAUCAUUGUCAUCAUCCUCAUGCUUAUAUUGUGAUGAAAGUCAUCUGGCUUACGUGCAUAGAUGGACUGUUGAUUGGUAUGAUUAUGACUAGGGAUCAUUCGGUAUAAUCAUGACCCGUAAUGUUACAAAUGAUGUGGUAAAAGUCCUCAUUGGCCCGUAGUGCAUUGAUGGACAGUUGUUGGUAUACUUAUGACCAGGGAUUAUUCGGUAUAAUCAUGACCAUUGGUGAUUACAUGAUUAUCCUUGGCCCGUAGUGCAAGGAUGAUUCGAUGAUGUGGUUUAUUUAUUAAGCUGAGUCUCAGCGAUAAAUUUGAUGAAAAACUUUUUAAAAUCAUAGAAGAUAGUAGAUAUCAUGCUCUACUUGACUCUUCUAAUGGAUUGCUUGUUCUGUUGCAGUUGUUGAUCUAAAACUUGUUGUCUAUUAUAUUCUAUCAGUUGUUAUAAUGUUGAAGGCUAAGGAUAAUUUAUUUUGUAUUAUCUUAGUCAUAAUAUUUCUUACUGGGCUAGUUAAGCUCACCCUUUUCUUUCAUUGUUCUCUUCAGGAAAUGAGAAUAUAGCUGGAACGAGUCGGGGAAUGGAGUGAUGGUCCAGGAUAAGUGGCUUUAGUAGUCCUCACUAUUCUAUGAAAUAGUGUAAUAAUAAUUGUAAUGAGGACUCCAUUGAGUGUGGAUAUUGUCUAGAAGACAAUAUUCGUGUUAAAACUCCCAGCUUAUGUUUUGUCGUAUUUUACACGACAGUUGAAUAAUUAAGUUUUUAUUUGUAUUUUGUACCAUGUAUUUGGCGACUCAAGAUGUGUGAUGUAUACCUGUUUUGGGGGCGUCACACCUGUUAAGAUUCUGGGUGAUUGAAAAAGUUGAUCAGCACCAAAAUUGCCCUUCUUCUAGUGUCAAUAUUAAUGCCAAUAUUCGUCGUCCACACGCUCAAUCACUAACAACGCAUCCAAUCCUGCAUAGAAACGAAGUCACACGUAGGAAUUUGACCGUCUGGGUUGUCGGGGAAUAGCUCUAGUGUGAGAAUAAGUACAUAAUGAAAUCAACUUAACAAUGAAGGCUUGUAAUUUAGUCACUACAAAAAAAAUAGUUCAUUGCCGACGGGCCAUGCCGUCACCAAUGACCCUCAUUGCCGACGGCACGGUCCGUCUCCCUUCCCAUCGUCGUAUGGGUCGUCGCCCCUGGCUCCCGUCGCUCGCCGUCGGCAAGAGUGUCAUUACCGACGAGGUCAUUGUCGAUGGCUAGCCGUCGGCAAUGAGUUAUUGGCGAUGACGUUGGCGAAGAAUAGACCGUCAGUAAUAUUGUUCCAUGAAAAAUAAAAAACAGUCAUUUCCAACGGCAUAGCCGUUGCCAAUGACCCUCAAAGCCCGUCGCAAAUGAGUUUUUUAGAAUACAAAAAAAAAAAUUGAAAAAUUGCAAAAUACCCUUGUUCAUUUACAUAUACAUAAUUAUACUUGUUAUAAACUAAAGAAAAAUUAUAAAGAAUUCUUCACGAACGCAUAUCAAUAACAAUAAUAACUUUUGCUAUAUCAACCAUCAAAUAUGUAAACAACAUAAUGACUUAUAGAUAAAAGUCGUACAAUGUAAAUACAAAAUGUAAUCAUAAACAAUCAAUAUAGUUAGAUACAUAUACCAUCAACCUAACUAUAUUCUAAACUUUUGUCUGUAUAACUCAAAAGCUGUAUAAAUAUACAUAUAUGAAAGUCAAAAUAUAAUCAUAAUGGGUACUACAACCCAAGAUCAGGAAUGUCGGUAUCACCAACGCCGCCGGUCCCAUCGUCGGUCCCACCUACGAUCCCACCGCCGAUCCCACCUACGGUCCCACCGCCGGUCCCACCUCCGGUCUGACUGCCAGUCCCACCCUCAAUAGUCUCAUUAACAUCAGCCCGGCGGUCAUCACCAUCUCCACCACGGGCAUCACAUGUGCCACAGCCUCCACCCGCCGAAGUCUCAUCAACAAGACCCUACAAUAUUAAAAUAUUAAUAAUGAAUUCGAAAAUAGAGCAUAUUUAAAUUAGUUUUGUUUGUGUUCUUCAAAUGUUGUUGAAUUUUGCAAACUAGGCGAUAACUCGGAUUCCGUAUGUCGGAAUCGAGUCUCGUAAGUUAUAACGCGUGUCUAAUACCUACGCGGUGCUAUGUGUGUGUUUGUGUGUCAUUCGGACGGCCGAUGCAGGUUUUGGGCUGUUUUUCGGCAUUUUGCCUAAGUGUUGUUGAAUUUUGCAAACUGGGCGAUAACUCGGUCUCCGUAUGUCAGAAUCGAGUCCCGUAAGUUGUAACACGUGUCUAAUACCUACGCGGUGCUAUGUGUGUGUUUGAGUGUCAUUCGGACGGCCGAUGCUGGUUUUGGGCUAUUUUUCGGCCUUUUGCCUAAAUGUUGUUGAAUUUUGCAAACUGGGCGAUAACUAGGUCUCCGUAUGUCGGAAUCAAGUCCCGUAAGUUGUAAUUCGUGUCUAAUACCUACGCGGUGCUAUGUGUGUGUUUACGUGUCAUCUGGACGACUGAUAUGAGUUUUGUACGCGGUACUAUGUGUGUGUUUGCGUGUCAUUCGAACGGUCGAUGCGGGUUUUGGGCUAUUUUUUGGCAUUUUGCCUAAGUGUUGUUAAGUUUUACAAACUGGACGAUAACUCGGAUUCCGUAUAUCGGAAUCGAGUCCCGUAAGUUGUAACGCGUGUCUAAUACCUACACGGUGCUAUGUGUAUGUUUGCGUGUCAUUCGAACGGCCAAUGCGGGUUUUGGGCUAUUUUUCGGCCUUUUGCCUAAGUGUUGUUGAGUUUUGCAAACUGGGCGAUAACUCGGAUUCCGUAUGUCGAAAUCGAGUCCCGUAAGUUGUAACGCGUGUCUAAUACCUACGCGGUGCUAUGUGUGUGUUUGCGUGUCAUUCGGACAGCUGAUGCGGGUUUUGGGCUAUUUUUUGGCCUUUUGCCUAAGUGUUAGCGAAUUUUGCAAAUUGGGCGAUAACUCGGUCUCUUUAUGUCGGAAUCGAGUGCCGUAAGUUGUAACGCGUGUCUAAUACCUACGCAGUGCUAUGUGUGUGUUUGCGUGUCAUUCGGACUGCCGAUGCGGGUUUUGGCUAUUUUUCGGCCUUUUGCCUAAGUGUUGAUGAGUUUUGCAAACUGGGCGAUAACUCGGAUUCCGUAUGUCGGAAUCGAGUCCCGUAAGUUGUAAUGCGUGUCUAAUACCUACGCGGUGCUAUGUGUGUGUUUACGUGUUAUUCGAACAGCCGAUGCGGGUUUUGGGCUAUUUUUCGGCCUUUUGCCUAAGUGUUGGCGAAUUUUGCAAACUGGGCGAUAACUUAGUCUCUUAUGUCAGAAUCGAGUCCCGUAAGUUGUAACGCGUGUCUAAUACCUACACGGUGCUAUGUGUGUGUUUGCGUGUCAUUCGGAUGGCCAAUGCAUGUUUUGGGCUAUUUUUCGGCCUUUUGCCUAAGUGUUGUUGAGUUUUACAAACUGGGCGAUAACUCGGAUUCCGUAUGUCGGAAUCGAGUCCCGUAAGUUGUAACGUGUGUCUAAUACCUACGCGGUGCUAUGUGUGUGUUUGCGUGUCAUUCGGACAGGCGAUGCGGGUUCUGGGCUAUUUUUUGGCCUUUUGCCUAAGUGUUGUUGAGUUUUGCAAACUGGGCGAUAACUCGGUCUCCGUAUGUCGGAAUCGAGUCCCGUAAGUGGUAACGUGUGUCUAAUACCUACGCGAUUUUAUGUGUGUGUUUGCGUGUCAUUCGGAUGGCCGAUGCGGAUUUUGGGCUAUUUUUCGGUCUUUUGUCUAAGUGUUGUUGAGUUUUGCAAACUGAGCGAUAACUCGAUCUCCGUAUAUCGGAAUCGAGUACCGUAAGUUGUAAUGUGUGUCUAAUUCCUACGCGAUGCUAUGUGUGUGUUUUUACGUGACAUUCGGACUGCCGAUUCGGGUUUUGGGUUGUUUUCCAUCCAACUUCGAUCAACAGACAUCUUGGACAACUGUCUGCUAUAUAUAUGGAAAGUUAGACAAACACAAUCAAGUCUCCAAGUUAAUGUAUAUGCAAGCUUAUGAGUUUCCUAACUUCAUCUCCCACUCUAACGGGUCAGGCUUCUAUCCCAUUCCCGGAUGUUGAUAAGUGGUAUUUUUACCUAUUUAUUGCAUACCAAUUCAUGCGAAUUAUGCCCAUCUCAAGUACAUUUCAUUGUGUUUUAGUUGCAAUUCACGUUAUUUUGCAUUGCAUUUACUUAAAACUCCUUUUGGUGAAUAAGUGCAGGAAUUGGCUUAAUUUUGGUGAUAUUAGAGGCACGAGGCUAAUGGAUGCGUGAAGGCUAGUCACAAGGCGAGGAUGUGCAUGGCAUGGAUAGACAAUGACGCAUAGAGACCAAGCAAGCAAGAGGAUCAAGCAUGAAAGAGUAGCAGCAGUAGGACAGAACCAGAACCAGAAUCUGCUGAGGACAAGCUUAGACUCGCGCGCCCGCGCGAGCACAUGGAUAAACAAUGACAACCUUCUGCAAGUCGCGCGACCGCGAGGGAAGAGAUGCGCGCCCGCGAGGGAUGAGCGCGCGCCCGCAUGAGAGGUUGGCUAGACUGGAUAUACACACUGCAAGUCUCGCGACCGCGAGACAGAGAAGCUAUAGAGACUAGACUGGAUAUACACACAAUGCUGAUGUUGUAAUUUUGUUUUAUUUUUAAUUCGUAAUUAAAUGAUGUGUAAUGGUUUUUAAAAUGAUUCUGACGGGUGUCAGACAUACACUUGAUAACUUUUACGUAUUUUUCAUCAUAGAAACUAGGGUUUACACCUUGGGAGAGAUUCCAACGUAGAACGGAAGCCAUAACGUCUACUUCUCUACUUCUUCUUGGAAUUCUCUGUCAUCGUGGAUUGUGAUUAUUAUCUAUUGGAUUUCUCUCUCUUACUUCAAUUGUUUGUUUAUUGAUCAUGUUUAGCCUUGAUCCCAAAAUGGCCUUUGGUUCAGUCAUGAACUAAACUCCAUUAUGGGAUUCUAACGGAUUUUAAUAUGUAGUUUGGUUGUACACUUAAUGCUAGAAUUGUUUUGCAUAUCAUAUGGGAUAUUUGUCAUGGUUGUUUUACAUGUAUGAAUGCUUGAUCAUCAUUCGUCUCAGUAUUUGUAUGGAAUUGACAAUGAACAUAUAAAUAUGGAUUGUAGUCAUGAUAACAUGCGAAUAUGGGGCUAUCAUAUAUGGCUUGCGUAUUUUNNNNNNNNNNNNNNNNNNNNNNNNNNNNNNNNNNNNNNNNNNNNNNNNNNNNNNNNNNNNNNNNNNNNNNNNNNNNNNNNNNNNNNNNNNNNNNNNNNNNUGCAUUGAAAAAUGGUUAUAACUCUCUUCGUGCUCUUGGCUAUUUUCCUAUGAUAUGUGAACACUUCUUGCAUGAUCGUGGCGAUUAGAUGAACUAUUAAAUAAAGUUAGGGUCCCAUUGUUUCCAUAUUAUAUUUAUUCCAUUUGUAUCCUUAUUUUCAGUUGGUAAUCAUAAUUAGUUUAAUUCAACAAUUUAGUCAUCAGUCUAAGCAUAUAAGUAUAGUGAGUUAAUUAAUGCAUAAGAGUUUAAAAUUAACAACUUUCUCUAUGGGAUCGAUACUUUACUUACUCUGUAUUACUUGUUGACACAUGUAUGCUUGCAUGAGUUAGAGCUCUUUUAUUAGAACUAUAAAAGGGGCAACAAGUUUUUGGCGCUGUUGCCGAGGAAAGGCGUUAAUUUAGAUAAUUAUCAUUAGUUUAAAGCUAUAUUGUAUGACUUAGAUAACUCUGUUCGUUUCUCAUUUCUAUUUUUAUUUUGUUUUUGGUUACAGGUACUUAUAGAGUUUUAUGCACACACGAUCAUCCAACUCAGAAUUAACACCAGCGCAGGAAAACAUCAACGGGAGAGGUUGGAAAGCUAGCGUGCGAAGAAAUCUACAAGCUCAGUUAGAGAGUACUAUACCGGAUAUGGCGAAAGAACAAAGAAUUGAGCAAAGAGUAGAGCAUCGGGCUCUAAGGGACUAUUCCAUGCCGAACAUAAACGAAUUACAGUCGAGCAUAGUCAGACCGGCUAUAGCAGCCAAUACCUUUGAAAUUAAACUGGGCACUAUUAAGAUGGUGCAGAACUCAGUACAGUUUGGGGGUGCUACUACGGAUGAUUCGAAUGAACACCUAUUGAGCUUCAUCGAGAUCUGCGAUACAUUUAGAUAUAACGGUGUGACGGAGGAUGCCAUCAAACUACGGUUAUUUCCAUUUUCAUUGAGAGAUAAGGCUAGAAGUUGGUUGCACUCUUUGUCGGCAGGGUCAAUCACCACAUGGGAGGACUUAGCACAGAAAUUCUUAGCCAAGUUCUUCCCAAUGGCUAAGACUGCGAAGAUGAGGAUGGCCAUAUCUCAGUUCAAGCAACAACAGGGCGAGUCCUUAUAUGAGGCAUGGGAGAGGUAUAAAGAGAUGCUUAGGAAGUGUCUGCAUCACAGGUUGCCAGAUUGGUUGGUAAUAAAUUCGUUUUACAAUGGUUUGGGAUGGCAGUCGAGACCGAUUGUGGAUGCGGCCGCAGGAGGGGAAUUAUGGGCAAAGACCUAUAAUGAGGCCUAUACACUUAUUGAGACUAUGGAUGCGAAUGAUUAUCAGAAUCCUACAGCUCAGAUGCCACAGCCCAAGGUUGCAGGUGUUUUAGAGGUUGAUGCCAUUACACAGUUAUCGGCACAAAUGGUAGCUAUGGCUAAAAAGAUAGAUACUUUGGCAGACAGUAAAGUGAAAACAGUUGCUUUCGUUUGUGAGAUUUGUGCGGGGUCACACUCCACGGAUCAAUGUGCUAUCAGCUCGGAGUCAGUACAGUAUGUGAGCAACUACAGGAAAGACCAAGGUCAAUUUCAGAAUACAUACCAUCCCAACAACCGCAAUCAUCCGAACUUCAGUUGGUCUAACAACCAAGGACAACAGAAAAAUCAGUUCCAGCCGAACCAACAAUUUCAACCGCAACCAUCGCAGUCAUUGUUUACACCAAAACCACCGUUUCCACCGGGAUUUCCUCAACAACAACAACACCACACUCCAGUUGCACCACAUCCAGAAAAGAAAUCAGAGAUGGAGGAGAUGAUGUUAAAAUACAUGGAAAACACUGAAGUCAUGAUCAAAAGCCAAGCAGUGGCUAUCAAGAAUUUGGAGACUCAGAUGGGGCAAAUGGCGAGCUUGCUUACUAACAGGCCCCAAGGUGCAUUGCCAAGUAACACAGAGACAAAUCCUAGAAGAGACGGGAAGGAGCAGUGUCAAGCAAUCACAUUGCGAUCGGGAAAAUAUUUGACAGGGUCUUGAAGUCACGCGCCUGUGCAUGAUAAUACUAAGGAGGUUGCGCGGCCGCGCGAGGCAGAGCAGGAAACUGAAGAGGAGAAAAAUCUGGAAAAUUCUGCGAUUCAGCAGGAAGAGAAGAAUAAAGCAGGUUCAGAAAAGAAGGUAAAGAGUCCAGUACAACCACUGCAUCCUCAAGUUCCAUAUUCGCAGAGGUUAAUUAAGCAGAAAGAUGACAGACAGUUCAGCAAGUUUCUAGAGGUAUUUAAAAAGAUGCAGAUCAACAUACCUUUCGCAGAGGCAUUGGAACAAAUGCCAAGCUAUGCAAAGUUUAUGAAAGGUAUAUUGUCAAGGAAGAGAAGAUUAGAGGAGUUUGAAAUAGUAGCCUUGACAGAGGAAUGCAGUGCAGUGCUCCAACGCAAACUACCUCCAAAGCUGAAAGAUCCGGGCAGCUUCACAAUUCUGUGCACCAUUGGGAAGAUGAAUUUUAGCAAGUGUUUAUGUGAUCUGGGGGCAAGUAUAAAUUUGAUGCCGUUGUCAGUGUUCAACUAGUUGGGAUUGCCGACUCCAAGACCAACGAACAUAUCGUUAUAAUUAGCUGACAGGUCCAUCACAUACCCACGGGGAAUUGUCGAAGAUGUGUUGGUUAAAGUGGAUAAGUUCAUUUUUUCGGCCGACUUUAUCAUUCUAGAUUUCGAAGAGGAUAUGAGUAUACCGAUCAUACUAGGGAGACCAUUCUUAGCCACUGGCAGGACUUCGAUAGAUGUGCAGAAAGGGGAACUAACUAUGCGUGUACAAGAUCAAGAGGUCACCUUUAACGUCUUCAAGGCAAUAAAGCUCCCAACAGAUGAAGAAGAGUGUUUUCUGGUUGAUCUGGUAGAUUGUAGCCUAAAGGAUUGGGUUCAGAAACAGAGGAAGAAUGAAUCAAAGAUGUGUGUAAUGGGCGAAAGUUCAGAAUUGAAGGUAGAGCCGUUAACGGAAGCCGAAGUAUUAAAUUUCGAGGUGCGGUGGACAAUAAGGAAGGCAUCUCAAUUUUUGAUGUAACGUGAAAAUCCAGAGACAGUCAAGCUAAUUGACUAUAAUUUAACGCUGGAUGGGAGGCAACCCAUUAUUUCUAUCUCCAUUGAUUUUUUUUUAAGUUGUUCAUUUUAGAUUAUUGUAGUUAGUUUCAUCUAAUUCACUUUCACUAGGACAUUGGAAUUUCAUGCCUUAGUACGUAGCAAUACUUGCUUGGCGAAUAUUUGCACAAUAAUAGCAUAAUGUGGCCACUAAUUCAUGCCUUAACCAUAUGCCUUAAUACCUGUGUAGGUACCAUUGUUAGAAAUCAUCACUGAUGAGGAGAAUGAAAUCAAACUUCAGAUUGGCAGAUACCAGGGUCGCGCGGCCCAUGCAGCAUAAACUCGUGCGUCCGCGUGCCAAGCCAAUCUGACCAUCAAACCUUCUGUAAGUCUCGAGCCCGCGUGCCCAGUGUACUACAUUCUCGCGCGGCCGCGCACGGCACCGAAUCCAGAUAGAUCUGAACAUUUUUAAAAUAGAGUCUUGGCUCAUUUGGACUCUCAUUUGCGAUAAUAACAGACGUUGAACUCUCUCACUUGCCAUAACUCACGUCUCUAUCUCUCUAGCAGUUACAGAUUGAAGCCGUAUAUCUCUCCAUCAAAUCUCUACGAAUUCCUCCACGUUCAAAACUCAUCCACAUCUCAUCUCUUCUAUAAAGCUAGUGCUCCCAAUUGGGUUUGCAGACACAAUAGUGAAGGUUAUCAAUUCACAAAUUUCAUUUCUCUCUCGCAGUAAGUUCAUCUGCUAUCUCUAUCAACAAUCUCAGAUGGGUCCAAAGAGAGCACGCCCAUCGCACGCCCAUCUUCAUCCUCCUCUAGCAGUCACGAGGAGGACAUUGUCGACCAUAACAAGUUCUUAUGUUUGGAAGCCCAGUAGGAGUACUAUCGCAUUAUCGCGAAGACAUUCAUCAAGGAAAGAGGUUUUAGACCCGAAGGCCAAGAUGGACAGCUUUGUGCCAUGAUCCACGAACGGGGAUGGGGUGGACUGACUGCCGCGCCCACGCCGAUUCCGAUGAGCAUAGUUCAGGAAUUCUAUGUUAAUGCCAAAGUAACCAUGAACAAUACCUAUAUGGUUCGUGGUGUCGAGGUAGACUACAGACCCUCCGCCAUCCGAAAUGUGCUGAGAAUCACCGCAAGACCACCAACAGGGUCGGCCAAUUGGAUCAUAGGGGCACAUCUAGACACGGACUUGGAGCUUCUCAUCGCUAAGUUGUGCAUGCCAGGCACAAAAUGGACUUACAAAGCUGGCAAGACCCAGCCUCGAAUAUUUCCAGCAGCCGCACUAAAUCAAUACGCCAAGGCAUGGAAUCUAUUCAUUUGUGCCAAGCUAUUGCCUUCAUCGCACCAACAUGAGAUCAUGGCGGAAAGGGCUGUAAUUCUGUGGGGGAUUAUUACUGGCAAGUACAUUGAUGUGGGGUAUCUAAUUCAUCAAAAUAUUGUGAAGUAUCUGAAGGGGACUACCACUGGGAACAUUCCACAUGCUUCAGUGGUAGCCAUGCUAUGUGCACAGCAGGGAUGCAAUUGGGGCAACGAACAAAUGCAAUAUCCAAGUCAAGACAUCACACAUGCCACCAUUGCUAAAUUUGAGGACUGGGCUGGUGGUGAGCCACACCCACGAGGAUUGGGAUUCAUUCUCCGCCCCCACCUUCCCAGAGCCAUCCCAGCAGCCCUCUCAACUUGAUGAGGCAGGUCCAUCCACCCGCGCACACCCAGUUCCUAGCGAUCGACAGCUUCGGAAGUUGGAGCGCAAAGUCAACGCCAUGUAUGACAACUUUGGAACAUUUUCUACGGGACUCACUCUGGCACUGGUCGAAGCCUUCGCACAACAAGGAACAAUGCUAGAAUGGCCGCAGUUUGGAACAGCCGUGCCGUAUCCACCACCAGAUUCACCACCUGAGGAGGGUGGUCAAGCCGAUCAUUAGAGGAGUUUUCUAUACCCUUUGGUUCAAUGGGGACAUUGAAUAUUUUAAGUUUGGGGGUAUUGGGGAUCAUAGAAUAGUAGUUUAGUAGUUUAGUUUUAUUUAAUUGGUGCAUGUUAGUGUAAUUUUUGCAUCUUUAAGUGUUUAGUUAGUUAAAUUUUUUGCAGAAAAUUUUUAAUUUUUAUUCUUUGUUGAUUGUUUUAAUUUAGUUGCAUGUCUUACACAAAUUCUUGCUUAAUAGAAAUUUUUGCCUAGCCAAUGAUGAUAGUGAAUUGUGAAAGAUUUGAGAAUAUUUGGCAUAACAUGGGCUGUGAUAUAAUGUUUUACACGAGGAGAUUCAUGUUGCUGUUUAAAUGCUUUCGGUAUGCACGAACUUGUUCACAAUCACUUGUAGGUGUAAGAUGUGUAUGUUGCAUUGCUUGAUAGAACAUGUAGUUUUAAAAAGAGAAACAUGAGGAAAGUGUUGUAGACUGUAUGAAUCAUUGACGUGCAGAUUUUGGGAAAACAUGGGUAUGCUAUGUAUAAAAAAAAUAAAAAAAAAAUCAAAUAGCAAUAACGUGGCUAGUCUUAAUUCGGGGCCCUGGCUGCUUGAGUAAGUACGCCCGAGGGGAUUGUCUCUACACCUAGCGCCCUAAGGUUUUUCAUGGUCUGGGAGUUGUUGGUUGAAAGCUCGCUAAGGGGCAGCAGUGUUCCUAAUGGGUUGAGACAUUGCACAGUCAUGUGAAAAAAAAAAGAGAAAAAGAAAAGAAAAAUAGCAAUAAACACCGCGGAAAAGUGCAAAAUCGCCCUCGUGAGCAGCAAUAAAGCAAUAAACCCAUUGUUGAACCUUAGUUUGUGUUGAUAUGCUGAAACAGUCUGCGUUACAUGAUUAUACAUGAGUCUUGCUUUAGACUAUAAUUUUCUGUUUGGAGCAGUGUAGCAUAUAUAUUCUUUGCUUAGAUCAAGUUUUUGUGAACAUCACACACACACAGCAUCUCUAUAGUAUUCAUGAAUUAUCUGAGCAUAGGAUAUUAUGUCUAUAGUUUGGUUUGAAACUGUAUUUACGGAUCUAGAUAAUUCACUGAGGUAAUUUGGGCUGAAAUUCUGUUAUGGCUGAUAUUGUGUGAGACUAGUAUGCAUCAUAUAGUAGUUGCAUAGUUUGGUAGUUGUAUUUUCAUUAUUCAUUAGUAUGCAUUGCUUGAGGGCAAGCAACAGUUCAAGUUUGGGGGAAUUUGAUAAGUGGUAUUUUUACCUAUUUAUUGCAUACCAAUUCAUGCGAAUUGUGCCCAUCUCAAGUACAUUUCAUUGUGUUUUAGUUGCAAUUCACGUUAUUUUGCAUUGCAUUUACUUAAAACUCCUUUUGGUGAAUAAGUGCAGGAAUUGGCUUAAUUUUGAUGAUAUUAGAGGCACGAGGCUAAUGGAUGCGUAAAGGCUAGUCACAAGGCGAGGAUGUGAAUGGCAUGGAUGGACAAUGAUGCAUGGAGACCAAGCAAGCAAGAGGAUCAAGCAUGAAAGAGCAGCAGCAGGACAGAACCAGAACCAGAAUCUGCAGAGGACAAGUCGCGCGGCCACGCGGCAGGACAAGCUUAGACUCGCGCACCCGCGCGAGCACAUGGCUAAACAAUGAGAACCUUCUGCAAGUCGCGCGACCGCGAGGGAAGAGAUGCGCGCCCGCGAGGGAUGAGCGUGCGCCCGCGUGAGAGGUCGGCUAGACUGGAUAUACACACUGCAAGUCUCACGGCCGCGAGACAGAGAAGCUAUAGAGGCGCGCAGCCGCGCGCGAUGCUGAUGCUGUAAUUUUGUUUUAUUUUUAAUUCGUAAUUAAAUGAUGUGUAAUGGUUUUUAAAACGAUUCUGACGGGAGUCAGACAUACACUUGAUAACUUUUACGUAUUUUUCAUCAUAGAAACUAGGGUUUACACCUUGGGAGAGAUUCCAACGUAGAAUGGAAGCCAUAACGUCUACUUCUCUACUUCUUCUUGGAAUUCUCUGUCAUCGUGGAUUGUGAUUAUUAUCUAUUGGAUUUCUAUGAGGAUUUAAUAGUUAAUCAUUGAUUUCUAUUCAGCGAUUGGGUUUGAUCGUUCUAUCUCUCUUACUUCAAUUGUUUGUUUAUUGAUCAUGUUUAGCCUUGAUCCCAUAAUGGCCUUUGGUUCAGUCAUGAACUAAACUCCAUUAUGGGAUUCUAACGGAUUUUAAUAUGUAGUUUGGUUGUACACUUAAUGCUAGAAUUGUUUUGCAUAUCAUAUGGGAUAUUUGUCAUGGUUGUUUUACAUGUAUGAAUGCUUGAUCACCAUUCGUCUCAGUAUUUGUAUGGAAUUGACAAUGAACAUAUAAAUAUGGAUUGUAAUCAUGAUAACAUGCGAAUAUGGGGCUAUCAUAUAUGGCUUGCGUAUUUUUUGAACGAGAUAGACAUAUAUUGUUUCACCGUAUGAGCUAGAGUAAGGGCUUGUGCUUAAAAUCAAUAGAAUUGCAAUUGCGCAUAGACAUAUGGUGAUUGUGAUUGUAUUGAUGAUUACAUAGAGUCUAACAUCUGUAGAUGCUGUGUAAGUAGGUUAUAGUGCAUUGAAAAAUGGUUAUAACUCUCUUCGUGCUCUUGGCUAUUUUCCUGUGAUAUGUGAACACUUCUUGCAUGAUCGUGGCGAUUAAAUGAACUAUUAAAUGAAGUUAGGGUCCCAUUGUUUCCAUAUUAUAUUUAUUCCAUUUGUAUCCUUAUUUUCAGUUGGUAAUCAUAAUUAGUUUAAUUCAACAAUUUAGUCAUCAGUCUAAGCAUAUAAGUAUAGUGAGUUAAUUAAUGCAUAAGAGUUUAAAAUUAACAACUGUCUCUGUGGGAUCGAUACUUUACUUACUCUGUAUUACUUGUUGACACAUGUAUGCUUGCAUGAGUUAGAGCUCUUUUAUUAGAACUAUAAAAGGGGCAACAGAUGUGUCGCCUCACUGAUGCCAACAACUUGAACACAUCUUUAAAUUUUUCAGAAAUUUCGGCAGCACCUCCCCCAUGGUCUUCAAGUACACGAAAUAGACUAACACAUCGUAGUCUAAAUAUGCACCCGAAGAACGUCAAGAGAUAUAUACUGACCGAAAAUUCUAAAAAUAUAAAGACGUGCUCAAGUCAUUAAUACCGACCUAAGUGAAAUCGAAACAUACAAGAACAGUCCCAAAACGGGGACUAUUUGAGAUUCACUCCUACUAAGUGAAUCUCAAACGGGUUUCUAAGCUUCCUAAACUAUAUGAAAAUAUGCACGUAUGAAAUUGAACUAUUUCCUAGAACAAAUUAAAAGGAAUACUAUAUUAUUGAGAAUGAAUUAUGAACCCAGGAAUUUUAUGGUUCUUACUCAUAAAAAUUAUUUUUGAUUUUCUUUGACAUAAAAGCUCAAAAUAGUUUCAUAAGAGAAUUGACAUAACAUACUUAUCUAUAUAAGCUAAAAAGAGAUUCAAUCAAUCAGACUAUAACAGGAAUGCUUGAUAGCCACAUAUUUCCCUAAAAUUCAUUUAUCCAAAAUACAACCAAGCAACAUUCACGAAUGCAUUUGUUUGAUGUCAGUCAAACAUGAAACAAAAUAUUUAACUUGUCCUUUAAUUAACACAUUACAUGGAUACAUCCACUUCUUGAAAUCUGCUAACAUUCAUAUAUGUAUCAAAUAUCCCAACAACUUUUGCUUCAAAUAUCCCAAUAACUUUUGCUUGAAAUUUAGAACAAGGAACAAAUUAAAAAACUUCAGUUUCAAAUAUCCCAACAACUUUUGCUUGAGGAAACUUUCAAAUGUAUCACAUAAGUAAACGCACAAAACACUAUUAACCAAAUAAGCACGUCACGAGUUCCUGCAAUUUUUGCCUAAGAUUUACUAUGUUUGAUCAGAGAUAACUUCAUGAUCACUUGCACAGACAAGUAAAAUACAAAGACGUGAGGGUGUGCACUCAUUGACCACACACUCGCUACCAAAGUAGGUAAUUUAGUCGACAUGCCAUCAAUAGAAUGCUUCAUGUUAACUUUUCUUGCUAAAACUAAAAUACAACGGCAGCCUAAAUGUGAAAUUAUGAAUACAGAAAAAAAAAAGAAAAAAAAAAGAAAAGAAAGACAACAUGGGACUCUUAAUCUAGGACCUGACUUCCUUUACACUUUCAAAGUGCAAACCUAAUGAUAAUGUCCCCAAGGACCACAACUAACAGACCAGGCAACUAAUAGAUUAAUUUCUACAUAAACAGUACUAUGCAACUGAAAUGGAAAUGAAAAAUUUACCAAAAUGAAGUGGUAGAAUAAUUGAAAAAUCAAUUGGGGGCGAAAUGAUGAACGAGUUGCAGCAGGGUACAGGCGGCGAACUGGGCGGUGACUGGUCGGCGACUGGCCGGGCGGCGAACUAGGCGGCUGAUAAUUUGGGUGAAAAUGAUGAGCGAGGAACCAAAUUCAAUUGGACAAAUCGAUUGAUUGAGCUAGGUGAGAAUCAAAAGCUCUGAUAUGGUUAGAAUCAAUUGGGACGAAACUUACAAAUCGCAAGGGAAAUAGAAAAUAAGAGAGGGAAUGAAAAUAUAUUCGUUGCCGUCGAACCAGGGUUUAAAAUAACAGACUUAUUCACGACGACAUUGCCGUCGCUAAUGCCACUGUCGAUAUAGACUCAUUCCCGACGGCAGUACCGUCAAUGCUAACAUUAGUGUCGUCGCCUAUGAUAUUUCCCUCCACCGGGAAAGUCUGGCGCCAAAUAAUAAGUACAUUACCGACGGCAGAGAUUGGCGACGGGUAUCCCGUCGAGAGUGACCUUAUUAGCGACAGGGAUAUCACUGUCGGCAAUGGGCCCGUCGCCAAUGACCAUUAUUUUUGUAGUGAGUGCUUAAUGUAAACAUUACUUGUGAAUUAGGUGUAACUUUGUAUUUAUAGUUGAUCACAUCACCUUUAACGUCAUGUCCCCGAAGUGUAAUAGAGUUCCUUAUCAAAGUAACUACCAUACUGGAAUAAGAGUCGAUCUCUUCAAAAUAAAAAGUCAAAUCUAAUCUUGACUCUUUUAAAUUAAAUGCAAUUAGAAAUUACAUAUUCCUCAAAGCCUAAUCCACCGCCCAUAAUAUUCUUCUUCGUGAAAAAAAUCCUCCAUGUGGCCUGGGCGGAACCUUAAAAUCAUGCCCCAACAUUUUACAAACGUAAAAGUUUGGACCAAGAUUAUAGUGCUUUUUUGAUAAGACUGUUGACAACGAGCUCAAGAACUUCGAGUCAAACUUAGAGGUCGAGGACAUAGAAGUCAGAACAAAAUCAUAGAAUUCAAAGACGUAAAGUUUAAUCGCAGUGCUUAAGAUGGAUGUUGUCUUAGAAGAGAAUAAAUGAUUGUAGAGUAUAACACUUUUUAAGUUCAAGUCAAUCAUGCAUACUGCAACUACAACUACAAGUCUAAAUACUCAGAGCUUUCACUGCAAGGACUAUAUGUUGAUACGUGGAGACAAUUGCUUUGCCAUUCUAGACAAUUGGCUGCACGAGCUUUUUGAAAAACAAAUAUUUUUACUGGUAGUUUCAAUGUUCGUGUAUAUAUAAAUCUUGGUGGCUUAAAUAGAAGGCUUUUAAGUGAUUUGAUUAGAUAAAUUGAGGAACUUUUUUACACUGAGUUUUGGAUAAAGAAGAAAAUAAAUAAGAACUUAAAUUAGGAUGGAUUUUUUUUUUAAGUUUUUUUGGUGAAUUGUUUAUGAGGUUAUAUGGGAAAAAACAUUACUUUUAAUAUAUAGAUUACCACUUUAUUUUUAUAGUAAAUCUUCUUGUAUUUCAUGUAUUUGUAUAUAGAGGGUGGUAUAUAGAUAAUAAAAGAUUUCUUCUUAAAAUAUAUUAUCUAAUAAAUAAUAACAUUUUAUAUAUGAUUAAUAGUGAAUCUAAAUAGGUUAAAGAAAAAAGAACUUUAUAAUAAUGUCUUAUUAUGUAAUAAUAUUAAAAUAUAAUUGUUAAUAUAUUAUUAUAUUAAUACUAAUUACAUACUAAUAUUAGGUAAGAAAUUGGUUCCUUUUUAAAAAUAUAGUAUUUAGGUUAUAAUAGAAUCCUACUUAAUUCGGACAAUUAAAUAUUUAUAUUUUGAUAAUAUAAAACAAGUAAGAUGUUCUAUAUAAGAAUAUUUUUUUUCUUAUAAAUACGUUGCGCAAAAUCGUGUUACAAAAAAUGUGUGACCAACAUCAAAAUGACUCCGUUAAUUUAUUAGUCGAUUCAAAAUAAAAUUGUCGUUUGCCUGAUUAUAUAUAUAUAUAUAUAUAUAGAGAGAGAGAGAGAACAAGGAUCAAGUGCAUACCCCUUAUCUUACUCAUUCGUACUCAUCCCCCUUUAGCGACGGACCCGGCGACGGUUUCGGUCAUACAACCGUCGUCUAUAUUUUUAGCGACAUGCAACAUAUAGCGUCGCUAAAAGUAUAUACGACGGUUGUAAGACCAAACCGUCGUCGGGUCCGUCGCUAAAGGGAGGNNNNNNNNNNNNNNNNNNNNNNNNNNNNNNNNNNNNNNNNNNNNNNNNNNNNNNNNNNNNNNNNNNNNNNNNNNNNNNNNNNNNNNNNNNNNNNNNNNNNCGUUGUCUUAAUUUUUAACGACGGACAAUAUAUAGCGACGGACCGAACUGUCGUCCGAUUAUAUAAUAAUCUUUUGGUUACUUAAUAAACAAACACCUACUUAUGUACAUCAUAAAGUUGUAUAAAAUUGCUGACACGUACAAUGUCUUUUUGUAGCACUAUUUUGCUCCUUUUAUUUUAUAUUUUUUACUUAUUUUUUUCAUUUAAGAACUUAUUUUAUUAUAUAUAUUUUAUUAAAAAAUUGAAAACUUAAUCCAUUACAUUUUAAUGUUAGAGAUAUAUUUUAUCCCGGGGGAAAUCUAGGGAAAGGACUAGGAACUAGGGAGAAUUUCGAGAAAUUUAUCUUUUUCAUGCAACACUUUGGGUUAGGGGCAUGGAGGGUAACUAGGAUAUAAACUAGAAAAAACAUACCUUUUUAAUCAACACUUUAGGUUAAUUCUGAAAUUUAUUAACUUCUGUUAAGGAAUAGAUUUAAAUCUUUGACCUUGCACAGUAAAUAAAGUGGCAUCUAUCACCUUUGAUUUCACUAUUUUGUUUUCCAAAAUUUAAAUUUUUUAUAUUUUUUAAUUUAAUCAUUCAAAUUUCACAAAACUUUUAUUUUAUUCUUAAGCUAACUACACUGUCUACACAUGUAGGCCAGACCAAAAAAUGCGUGUUGGGGUUGCUAAUUUUAAAUAAUUGGAAUACUAAAAAUUUAAAUAAUUGGGCCUAGUGUAAAAAUGGAUUCCAAAAGUUUGAGCGUCAGAAUAGGUGAGGUAAUGGAUGGCACUAGCCCGGUAUUUUGUUGCUGCUAUGUAAGGCCAGCCUUAACCAAGAAGCCUAUGCUUCUGCAUGAGCCACAUGAUCAAAACGCUUGCAAAACGCUUGCUUGGAAGUCUUCGAGCCCCACAUGGCCCAAGCCGUGAAUCAAUAAAAUAAGUACAAAAAUAGUGCAACAUAAUAAAUACAUCAUAUUAUUCAAUUCCACAAAAAUAAAUAAAAAACCUUAAAUCAAGGAGAAAUCUUAUCAUACAGAUGUGGUAGUUACUAACCAAAACAAACCCUACAUCUCUCAUCCGCCAUUGUUGGGACCUGCAUUAGGAACAGAUUCAAGAAUUUUAAGCUGAUUUGCGGCCUUCUCUCUGAGAUAUAAUAUCUCAUCAUCUUCAAACUCUUCUUCAUCUUCAUCAAGAUAAUCAGCAUCCUCCUCAGAGAUGUGAGCUUGAAACUUUUGUUGCUGGUUUUUCAAGGCUUAAAGGUCCUUGAACAAGACUUGCUUUUGGGUUUUGUUACUCUUGUCAUCUUUGAUACAGCUAACCUUCUGUUUCUGGUUCUGAUUAGUCUUAGUUGACCAAAGCUCAGCAUGCUUACCAUCACUGGGUUUUAAGCUUUAAGGAGGAUGGCAAGAGACUAUCAUUUACUAAUCCAAGUGCGGUAGUAGAACAGCUUGGUCCAAUUCUAGUUGAACCAGUUUACCUUGAAGCCUAACCAAAACUUUUCGAUCAAUAUUUUUUCUUUUAUUUUUUUCUCCGGACACUUGUAAUGAAAUCUCCUCCUCUGCCGCCUCCUAUCUCCACCCCUUCAUCCUCCUCCUAUUCUUCUGUCGCCUCCUCUCUCCUCCCCUUCAUCUUCCUCCUCUGCCGUCAAUGAAAACUCGAAACCGUUGUCCAAAACGCCAAUAAGAAGAAGGAGAAGAUUCGUUCCACAAGCAAAGAGAGCCUCCGCCGAGCAAAGAGAGCUCCGAUCGGAGGAAGAAACGACGGCAAACCAUCAAAUAUUUAUGACUAUUUGGUUACCCACAAAAACUAAAAUGGUUACCUUUGUGUGAAGGUUUGGCUACCAACUGAAUCUUUUUAUUGAUGUAAGGUAACCGAGAUUGUGUUACAUAAUAUUGAAUAAUGUUUUAUAUUCUUUUUCUUCUUACAUUAAGUAAGAGAAAAACCACACGACUACUCUCUGAUUCCAUCACGGUUUAACAAGAACAAAUACAUGUAACACUUGUAAUUUUUUUGAAUUUUUUUUAUAAUUAUUUGGUUACCCACAAAAACUAAAAUUGUUACCUUUGUAAGAAGGUUUGGCUACCAACUGUACCUUUUUGUUGAUGUAAGGUAGCCGAGAUUGUGUUACACAAUAUUGAAUAAAACCACGCGACUACUCUUUGAUUUCAUCAUAGUUUAACAAGAUAAAGAAAACAAUUACUGAAUUUUUUUUAUGACUAUUUGGUUACCCACAUAAACUAAAAUGGUUACCUUUGUAUGAAGUUUUGGUUACCAACUGCACCAUAUACAAAAUGCACGACUACUCAAGUUUGGCAUGCAAUUCAAAUUUUCACAGCGGAGAGAAACAACCGGGAACAGUUACAUAAUUACAAAAUUGAUUUGUCACAUCAGCAACCCAUUAAAACACCCAACUAAAUUAAAGUGAUACUAAAUAUACUAAUUUUGUAAAUAAAAUAUUGAAAAUGUAUUAAUUCUGUAAAUAAUUUCUAGAUGCACUUUGGUUGUAAUUUUUUCUAAAAAUGUACUAAAAAUUGUAAAUGUUCCAAUCUUAAAUUGGGGUCUUUUUUUUAAACCAUUCAAUACUAAAUUAAAUUAAUAUCUAUAAUUUUUUUUAAAUAGAAUUUCAUUUUUCUUUCUCUUUUAGAUGCAAAAUAAUUGAUCAAACUUUUAUAAUCAAUUUUCUCUAAUAUAUUUCUUUUCAAUUGAUAAAAUCGCUAAUCCACUUAAUCUUUCUUGGAACAUAGUCGAUUUUAAGUAAGAUUUUAUCAAUUUUAAUUUUGAAAAAGUUCUUUCUGCAGAAGCAACUAUUACAGAAAUUGUUAAUAAAAUCUAUAUGUGAUGCAUGCAUUUGAAAAAGAUUGUAGUUUUUAUAUAUAAUUCAGAAUGUCAACCGGAGUGUUAUUUUUUUCUUCUAUUUGUAUAACUUCUCUUAAAAAUUUUAAUUCCGAAAAUAAAUCUAAACCAUCAAUAUCAAUAGAAUUUGUAUAUAUGACAGCAUUUUUGAGAUAAAGAAAUUUAUCAUGCUAACUAUCAUCAUCAAAUUUAUUCUUAUAUAUAAAGACAGCAAAGGCGAUCCUUUCAAUUGAAAAACUCAGCUUCCAAUUGAAAGUUUUACUGAGUCAAAUCUUAAUUAAUUAAGAUUUAACUCGAUGAUAACUCACCCAUAUACAGAAUCGUCGCGAUGUCUUCACCUCCUCUUCCAUCACUCGAUUAAGAAUUUGAUGUGUCUCGGAUUUCCUCCCCUCUUCCUCAUCCUCUUCCUCUGUCAUCGCUUCUCGCUUCAUAUAAAAAAUCGUCUUUGUUUCAUAUAUCUCCCUCCGUAUAUCUCCCACCUCCAUACACACAUACCAAAUCUCUCAUCUAUCUCUGAUUUAUUCUAAAGUUUUUUGUAGAUAAACGAAUCUGAAGUCGUCACCGACUCCUUCUCUUCUUCUCGAUCGACUCCUCUUCUUCAAUCUUUGCCUCAGUUAAUUCUUUAGCAACAGCGGCAACCCCUUUCUCGCGCUCAAGGCUUAUGAUGACGCUGAUCCCAAUAAGCUUUUUCUCAUGGUGAUUAAGGGUCAGAUCUAUGAUGUAUCACAAAGCAGGUAUAUAUCAUUUGUAUUUAGGUUUAAUUAUGUGUAGUUGCUUUCGGUUAGAUGAAUUUUAGUCUAUUUUUGACUUUUUUGGAUUCAGAUAAUGACCUUUUUUGACAUUUGACUGCAAAUUUUGGUGUCAAAUUUCUGGGUGUUAAAAAGGUUUUCCUUUUUUUGGGUGGAGUUGCCUCGGAUCAAAAAUCUUCUGGUGAUUUUAAUUUUUCAAAACUAAAUUAAAAAUCUAAAAGUUCUCAUAUAAAUGAAACUGUUAUGAGUCUUGGAAAAAAAAAAGAAGAAUAAAUUUCAGUCUUCCAUUAGAGAGAAAAAAAUAUCUUGUAUGAUUGUACUUGUAGCUACUGAAAAAAAAUUGGGCGUUUUUAAUAUGCUCUAACAUAUAUGGAUUAUUAAAAUUUGGGGCUCUUCUCAAUUUUGGGGGCCUCAAGUCAUUACUUAAAUGACUUAACAUAUGGGUCAGCCCUGCCCCAAACUAGGCUUGCCACCGUAGUUUUAAGUCUUCUAGGUAGUACGGUCCAAUGUUCAGUCAACAUAAUGCCCUCACUCAAGACACUAGCUUGCGUUACUAAACCCAACAAAUAAAUUAUGGGUCAAAAGUUUUUAAGAGGCGUUUGUUACAAGUUAUCUAAAGUGGUCAUCUUACAUACCAAGUAAUGUAAGUUGGUCAUUUUAUAGAUUAUGUUUGUUAUACUGAUAAUCUUACAUUCCCGGUAAUAAGAUAUCCAGUAAAGUGUCAAGAUUCUCGGUAAUCGGAUAACAAAAUAAUAGAUGGUAAUUGUAAGACCCCAACUUUUAUGAAUAAAGAACUAAUUUUCUCGAAAUAUCUUUUUAAAUAAUAAGGUGUGGAUUUGAUAUAAUGUUAUAGUUGUGGGUAAUAUUUACAAAUUUUGCAAAGUAAGCAAGUUGUUAUAAAAUAUUUGUUUGGUCGGAGAAUAUUCGUUUUAACAGGAAAUAUUCGUACGACGACACAAUCAUUGGUGGACCCCACAACGAAAUUACUGUCGGAGUUAGAAAAUGACAGAAAUAACUUUUAUAAAAAUAACUUUUUAUAAGGAGAAGUCCUUAUCGAAAACCCCCCUCUUUCCUGGGAAUGAUCUGGUUGUUAAUAUUGUGAGUUAUAAUAUUAAUGAUGAAUAAAUUCGUGUUGAUUAAAGAUAAGAAUAAUAAUUAAUGAGUGAAAGAUGUUUGUUCAAUUAUCCUUUUAAAUUGGUAUUGUUCUAUGUGGUUUUGAAAAAUAUGGAAUUCUUUUACAAGGAGUAGCCCUCAUUUACCAAACCUGUAAGACCCCAACUUUUAUGAAUAAAGAUUAAUUUUUCUCAAAAUAUAUUUUUUAAUAUUAUGGUGUGGAUUUGAUAUAAUGUUAUAGUUGUGGGUAAUAUUUAUAAAUUUUGCAAAGUAAGCAAGUUGUUAUAAAAUAUUCGAUUGGUCGGGAAAUAUUCGUUUUAACAGGGAAUAUUUGUACGACAACACAAUCAUUGGUGGACCCCACAACAGAAGUAUUGUCGUAGUUAGAAAAUGACAGAAAUAUCUUUUUAUAAAAAUAACAGCGAAAGUUUUAUCGUUAAACUGUUGAACUACCCGGUAGUAAAAGUACAAUAAUACGCGCAGUUGCAUAGUAGCACACUGUAUUAAUUAUUGAUGCUUACGUGAGACGUCACUCAGUUAUACUCAAUUAUUGCUACAGUAAUUACUGCAUAAUAUCUCUCAUAUUAUUGAUUCAAUUAUUGUCAUAGUAUCAUCUGCAUAAUAUUUAUUAUUAUUAAAUAAAUAAUUGAGACAACAAAGUUAUUCAUAUUAUUAUUUGCAAUAUUGACGAUGUCUAGAAAUUUAUGUCGAGGAGAGGUUUGGUCACCUAAUUGCGCGCUAAUAGGGAGAAAUCCUUAUCAGAAAGCCCCCUCUUUCCUGGGAAUGAUCUGGUUGUUAAAUAUUGUGAGUUAUAAUAUUAAUGAUGAAUAAGUUCAUGUUGAUUAAAGAUGAAAUUGACGUUUUCAUUGUGUUGGGAUUAUUAGUGUUAAUGGAAAUCGACAUUUAUUUCGAUAAUAAUUGAUUUCUGGAGGUUAUAUUGAUCAAUCGGGUAAUUAAUCGGACAAAUGAGCAACUAAUUGCUAUUAAUUCACAUGCUUAUAACUAUUUAUUCACAUGUAUGUACUAUUGAUUCACAUGCAUGUACUAUUAUGGGAGGUGGUGCAAGUUUGAUAAUACUUGUAGGACUAGAUUUAAAAUGAAGAAAAAGAUGAAGGUAUUAAACUGUAGUAUUUCGAGCCCCAAAACGUGCAAUUAUUGAAACUAUAUUUUCCUAUAAAUAGAAGCUCAUUCUUCUUUCAUUCUCACCAAUUCACUAAGACUCACAAGAGCAAUUAUAGAGAGAGAAGCUAUAGAGAGAAAGAAGAAGAGUAUUCUGUUACUUCACUAUUCUAGUAUCCAGUCUUCUUCUAAGGUAAGGGAUAUUAUUUUUGUUCAGUAUUCAAAAGAAUAAUAUUUUCUUCCAUUCUCUGUAGUAUGUGAGUAAUAUUAUUUCUUCUCGGAUUCCUGAUUAUACCCUUAUUUUGUUAAAGCAUUGCUUCUAUACUUCGUGAAAUUAGUAGAAUAUCCUUGAAAUUUGUGUUUCAUCUAGUAUCGUUUCAUAAAGAUAUUUUCUGCACAUUCUUGUUAAAUUUUAAGCUUUUUAUGCCAGAGUAAUGUCCAUGAGUACUAUUCAUUUAUACGGUACUAUUCACAAAUUACUAUUCAUGGGUACUAUUUACAAAGUAUUAUUCAUAAAGUACUAUUCAUGGGUACUAUUCACAAAGUACUAUUCACGAGUACUAUUCACAAAAUACUAUUCAUAGGGUACUAUUCUCGAAGUACUAUUCAUGGGAUACUAUUCACCCGAGUACUAUUCACCCGGAGUACUAUUCAUAACAAAAAAUUGAUUUUUUUUCGGUCCAAAUCAUUUUUGAUACAAUAUCAUUCUUAAAUUUUACUCCACAAAGCAGUAUCAUGUUGGAAAUUUGAACAUUAUUGAAUUCUGGAUAAAUUAAAUUAUAAAUCUUAAAAAAUUUAUCCUUUACUUUCUUUUAAUUGAAUUCUUAUAUCAUUGUCAUCAUCCUCAUGCUUAUAUUGUGAUGAAAGUCAUCUUUGGCUUACGUGCAUAGAUGGACUGUUGAUUGGUAUGAUUAUGACCAAUGAUCAUUCGGUAUAAUCAUAACCCGUAAUGUUACAAAUGAUGUGGUAAAAGUCCUCAUUGAUAGACAGUUUCUAGUAUGAUCAUAACCAUUGGUGAAAACACGAAUAUCCUUGGCCCGUAGUGCAUAGAUAAUUCAUGGUCAUGAUACUAAUGAAUAUCCUUGGCCUGUAGUGCAGGGAUGAUUCGAUAAUGUAGUUUAUUUAUUAAGCUGAGUCUCAGCGAUAAAAUUGAUGAUAAACUUUUUAAAUCAUAGAAAAUAGUAGAUAUCAUGCUCUACUUGUCUCUUCUAAUGGAUUGCUUGUUCCGUUGCAGUUAAACUUGAUGUUUAUUGUAUUUUAUUAGUUUAACACUGUUGAAGGCUAACGAUAAUUUAUUCUGCAUUAUCUUAGUCAUAAUAUUUCUUACUGAGCUAGUUGAGCUCACCCUUUUGCUUUCAUUGUUCUCUUCAGAAAAUGAGAACGUAGCCGGGACUAGUCGGGGAACGGAGUGAUGGUCUGAGAUGGUGGCUAUAGUAGUCCUCACUAUUCUAUGAAAUAGUGUGAUAAUAAAUGUAAUGAGGAGUCCAUUUGAGUUUGGAUAUUGUCUAGAAGAUAAUAUUUGUGUAAAAACUCUCAGCUACGCUUUUGUCGUAUUGUAUAAAAGAAGUUUGUAUUUGAUUUAUGUACUAAGUAUUUGGCGACCCAAGAUGGGUGAUGCAUACCUAUUUUGGGGGCGUCACAAAAAUUGUCAAGAGGCGUAUUUUUAUUUUUGGCAGAUGAAUUUUCCCUUCACAAAGGGGUAAAUUUUGAUUGGCUAAUCAUUUCUUUUCUUCUUAUAUUGGUAUUCCCUUCAAUGAAGGGUAGCCUCUGAUUGGCUAAUCCAUUCCAUUUGCUAGUUACCUUCAAAAGAGGGUACUCCAUCAUUGGUCCUUAUCUCCCACUUUGUUAGUUACAUCCUCAGGAGGGCACUCCCUUAUUGGUGGUCUCAAAUAUAUGUUGAUGAAAUUGCGUCCGAAUAUUUUUAAUGUGGAUCCGUGAUUAUUUUCCUAAAUAGUAUCCUGUCAUUCUCCUAUAAAUAGGAUGCUUAGUUUAAAAUUAAAAAUCACACCAAAAUCAGAGAAUUCUUCUUCUAUAAUAUUGAGCAUAUUUCUUUUGAGUUAAGGAAGCUUUGAGUUUAGAAAACAGUAUAAGUUUUCAUUAAGAAUAUUCCCGCCAUACCAUUCAGAAGUACUCUCCCUUUUAAGGUAAGGGAUAUUAUUUUUGUUCAAUAUUCGUAAGAAAUAAUAUUUUCUUCCAUACUAUGUAGUAUGUAAUUAAUAUUAUUUCAUUUUAAAUUCUGAAUUCUACACUCAUUUUGUUAAGUAUUGCUUCUAUACUCCUUGAAAUUAGUAGAAUAUCCUUAAAAUUUGCGCUUCAUCUAGUAUCGCUUCACAAUAAUAUUUUUCUAAACAUUCUUUUUAAAUUUUGAUCUUUUCAUGUCGGGGUACUAUUAACCGGGUUAUAUUCACGAAGUACUAUUCAUGAGAUACUAUUCACCUGGGGCACUAUUCAUUACAAAAUUAAUUUCUUUUCUGUCCAAAUUAUUUUUGAUACAUGAAUAUUAUUCUUGAAUUUUAUUCCACAAAACAGUUAUCAUGUUGACAAUUUGGGCAUUCUUGAACUCUGGAUAAAUUGAUUUAUAAAUCUUUAAAAUUUAUCAUUGCUCUCACUUAAUGGAAUUUUUAUAUCAUUGUCAUCAUCCACAUGCUUAUAUUGUCAUAAAAGUCAUCUUUGGCUCGUAGUGCAUAGACGGACUGUUGAUUGGUAUGAUUAUGACUAUAUAUUGGUAUAAUCAUGAUCUGUAAUGUUACAUAUGAUGUGGUAAAAGUCCUCAUUGGCCCGUAGUGCAUUGAUGGACAGUUGUUUGACAUGAUCAUGACCACUGGUGAUACUAACGAAUAUCCUUGGCCCGAAGUGCAUAGAUAAUUCGCGGAUGUGAUAAUAAUGAAUAUCAUUGGCCCGUAGUGCAUGGAUGUGAUACUAACGAAUAUCCUUGGCCCGUAAUGCAUGGAUAAUUCGAGGAUGUGGAUUAUUUAUUGAGCUGUGUUACAGCGAUAAAAUACUGAUGAUGAACUUUUAAAUCAUAGAAGAUAGUAGAUAUCAUGCUCUACUUGACUCUUCUAAUGGAUUGCUUGUUCCGCUACAGUUAAAUUUAUUUCACCAAUCGAGUCACAGGUAUCUAACAUAUUCAUACCUAACGAUUUUCCACAAAGUGGUGGUGACGAAACGUAUAACUUGUACAAAUCUUUCCAUUUUCCAAGUCGAUCUGAACGAAUUGUUGUCUAUUGUAUCCUAUCAGUUGUUAUACUGUUGAAGGCUAAGGAUAAAUUAUUCUGCAUUAUCUUAGUCAUAAUAUUAUUUAUUGGGCUAGUUGAGCUCACCCUUUUUCUUCCAUUGUUCUAUUCAGGAAAUGAGAAUAUAGCUGGGACUAGUCAGGGAAUGGAGUGACGGUCCAUAUGGUUGCUAUAGUAGUCCUCACUAUUCUGUGAAAUAGUGUGAUAAUAAUUAUGAUGAGGACUUAAUUUGAGUUUGGAUAUUGUCUACGAGACAAUAUUCGUGUUAAAACUCUUAGUUUACGUUUGUCGUAUUGUAUAAAUUAAUUUUGUAUUUGAAUUAUGUACAAUGUAUUUGGCGACUCAGAAUGGGUUGUGUAUACCUAUUUUGGGGGCGUCACAGUUGGUAUCAAAGCUUAGGGAUAUGAUCUCUGGCUAAGAUUUGAGGCUAGAACUAGGGGGAGAGAUGGGUAAAUCAUUCCUAGUAUGACCUACCUAAGUUUAUUUGUUAUUUAAUUGGUUGGUCAGAAUAUAGGGAUUAUAUGUAGCAUGUCAAUUAACCCUUGUUUUGUGGUAGUGUUUGAAAAUGGCAUCUGAACCUGUUGAGAUAAACAAUGAAGCACAUGAGACCAUUGAGUCAGCACCGAUCAAUAACCAGGAUAUUGUGCAUCAGGAAGGCAACAAUCCUCAUGUAAACAGCAACACCGACCAAAUGAUGAACGACGGGGUGUUUAGGAGCUUUUUGCAAUUCAUGCAACACCAAGCGAGAGAGACUCAUGUUCAAAAUGCAGGUGAUGGUCACCGCUAAGCAAUUCAAGGAGCUGGGACCACUGGAGUUUUUGGGAAAACCAUAACCACUUAAGGCAGAGACGUGGAUUAAAUAGAUCACCAAGAUAUUUGAUGUCUUAGGAUGCUUCGAGGAGCAAAAGGUUCCCUUUGCCACCUUCAUGUUGCGAGAAGAAGAAAAUCAUUGGUGAGAAUUUGUAAAACGUACUCAGCAUGCCGCACUGAAGAUGUCUUGGGAGAAGUUCCAAGAAUUUUUCAACGAAAAGUACUUUCCUGAAGGUAUUCACAUGAAGGAGGUAGAAUUCAUCAAGCUGGAGCAAAACAAUAUGAUCGUGUCGCAGUACGAGGCUUUGUUUGCCGAGUUGUUCCAGUUUGCAUCCCAUUUGGUAGAUAAUGAGGAGUGUAUGAUGCGAAUGUUUCUAAGAAGUUUGAAACGCGAAAUACGUCAAUACAUUAUUUCUCACAAACUUUGCUUGUAUUCAGAUGUUGUGAAUAGGACUCAAUUAUUGGAGCGUGAUAAUGAGUCAACCCAACCAAGAGAUAGCAGCCGCAAAACGAUAAUACCAGUGGUAGUAGUCAUCGAAGCGGUGACAACAAACGUGGAGAAAAUCAACAUGCCAGAAAUGGUUACCACUUCGGUGGUAAUCCUGGCCAAGAUAAUAGAAGAAAUGAGUCAAGUGGAAAUUUUAAUAAGAGAAGGUUCAAUAAUGAUGGAAAGAUAGUAGCACCAUCACCCAUUUUCAAGGAAGGAGAAAGACCAUCGGUAGUUUGCUACAAAUGCGGAGGGGAGGGACAUAUUAGUCCAAACUGUAUGCAGCAACCUAAAGCGUGUUAUAAUUGCGGAAGAGAUGGUCACCUAGCCCAAUUUUAUCAUGUAGUGAAGUUCAGUCCAACUGGGAUAGAAUCACUAAAUGCUGUCCUAGACAAGUUAAAGCUGGUAGACCUCCAAAAAAGUGAGGAACCCAAAUGAAGCUAUCACGGGUAAGAUAAUCAUAAACUCUUGCGAAGUUUAUACCUUAUUUGAUACCGGUUCUACCCAUUCUUUUAUUUCACCUACUUGCACUCAACGUUUAAAUUUGACUCCAGAGAAAUUAGACUUUGACUUAUCUGUUGAAACUCCGUUGAGAGAAACCUUCAUUACAUCCACUGUUUAUAAAUCUUUUUUGAUUCAAAUCGGAACCCCCACGUUACCUGUCGAUCUUAGCUCUUUGAAAAUACUUACAUUUGAUGUGAUUUUAGGGAUUGAUUGGUUAACUACUCAUCAUGCUAAAAUUAAUUAUUUUAGUAAGGUUGUUAGCUUUCAUAUUCCUAACCAACCUAUUAUGCGAAUUCAAGCAACCAAACCACUAAAGUAAAUCACCGUCAUAUCAAGCCAUAAAGCCAUUCGUUUAUUGAAAAACGGAUGUCAAGCUUUCUUAUUCCAUGUCACCGAUUUAAACAAAAAUAUGUCAGAUUUGAAUGAUAUUUCUACUGUUAAUAAAUUUCCUAACAUAUUCCCUGAAGAACUUCCUGGCCUACCCCCAAAGCGUGAAAUCAAAUUUUGUAUUAACCUUGAACCCGGUACAAAACCUAUUUCUAAAACCCCAUAUCGAAUGGCUCCUAUUGAACUUCAGGAGUUAAAAACCCAACUGUAGGAGUUGUUAGACAUCAGUUUCAUUUGUCCUAGUACGUCUCCUUGGGGUGUUCUUGUUCUAUUCGUAAAGAAGAAAGAUGGAAGUAUGCGACUUUGUAUUGACUAUUGGGAGUUAAAUCAUGUCACCGUCAAAAAUAUGUACCCGUUACCUCGCAUUUAUGACCUGUUUGACCAGUUGCAAGGCGCCAAAUUCUUUUCUAAGAUCGAUCUUCAUUCCGGAUAUCAUCAGUUAAAGAUUAAAACUGAUGACAUUCCAAAGACUGCUUUCAGAACUCGGUACGGGCAUUACGAAUUCUUAGUCAUAUCUUUUGGAUUGACAAAUGCUCCUGCUGCCUUUAUGGAUAUGAUGAACCGAGUAUUCAAGAAAUAUUUGGAUCAUUUUGUGGUUGUAUUUGUUGAUGACAUCCUCAUAUACUCCAAAAGCCAUGAAGAUCAUGAGCAACACUUGAGGCUAAUACUCUAAAAGUUUUGUGAAAACAAGCUAUAUGCCAAGUUGAAGAAAUGCGAGUUCUGGCUUGAGGAAUUAGCAUUCCUUGGGCACGAGAUAUCAAAUCACGAAAUAUCUGUUGACCCAGUAAAGAUUGAAGCAAUUCAAAGCUGGGAGCAACCAAAGUCAGUGACCGAAGUACGUAGCUUUCUGGGCUUAAAUGGUUAUUAUCGGAGAUUCGUGGAAGGACUUUCUCGAAUCGCUACUCCAUUAAAUCAGCUGACUCGAAAAGAUACAAAAUUCGGUUGGAGCGAGGAUUGUGAGAAGAGUUUUCAAGAACUCAAGAUGAGACUCAUUUUAGCACCUGUUCUGACAAUACCAUCUGGUUUGGAGGGAUUUGUCAUCUACAGCGAUGCUUCAGGCAGAGGGUUAGGAUGCGUUCUCAUGUAACAUGUGAAAGUCAUAGCCUAUGCUUCACAAUAACUCAAAGAAUAUAAGAGGAAUUAUCCUACUCAUGAUCUAGAGUUGGCAGCUGUCAUUUUCGCACUAAAUAUCUGGAGACAUUACCUGUAUGGGAGAAAGUGGAGAUCUAUAUGGAUCAUAAAAGCCUCAAAUAUUUCUUCACCCAAAAAGAACUCAACAUGCGGCAACAACAUUGGCUCGAGCUAUUGAAAGAUUACGAUCAUACCAUUUAAUACCAUCCUAGAAAAGCGAACGUGGUAGCUAACGCGUUGAGUAAAAGAUCAUAUGCGGGUACGAGUGCGAUAUUGUCAACGCACAGGCCCAUUUUAUAUUACUUACAAAUGAUGGAGAUAGAGUUAAAGACUCCAUGGACCCACGUGAUGAUGUCGAAUAUACGAGUAAAAUCGACUUUAAUUGAUAAAGUUAAAGCUGCUCAAGCUACAGACCUGGAGCUGAUGCGUAUGAAGAAGAAAUUACAAGAAGGUGUUAUUCCGGAAGAAAGAAUCGAUAAAGAAGGAAUACUUCGAGUCAACUCCAGAAUUUGUGUUCUUAACGACUCUGAUUUGAAGUAUAAAAUCAUAAUGGAGGCGCACAACACACUGUUUGUAAUCCAUCCUGGAAAAAAUGUAUCGUGAUCUUCGACAUACAUUUUGGUGGAGCAAUAUGAAGAGAGAGAUCGCGGAUUUUAUCUUAAGGUGUUUAACUUGUCAACGUGUCAAGGCGGAGCAUCAAGUUCCAAAAGUUCCAUUGCAACCACUUGAAAUUCCAGAAUGGAAGUGGGAGCAUAUUACCAUAUAUUUCGUUAUUGGUCUUCUCAAGGUUUCUUAAGGCAUAGAUGCAAUUUGGGUCAUUGUUGAUAGAUUAACCAAGUCUGCUCAUUUCUUACCUAUACGAGAAACUUAUUCACUUGAACGUCUUGCUCGUAUAUACAUAAAUGAAAUUGUAAGACUGCAUGGUAUGCCAGUAUCCAUAGUUUCUGAUCAAGACCCAAGAUUCACUUCACGAUUUUGGGUUAGUUUGCAGAAAGUUAUGGGCACGGAUUUACGAUUUAGUUCGGCAUAUCAUCCUCAGACGGACGGGCAGUCGGAGAGGACUAUUCAAACUCUUGAAGAUCUAUUAAGACUCUGUGUCCUUGACUUCAAAGGGAGUUGAGACAAGUUCUUUCCAUUAGUAAAAUUCUCCUACAACAACAGUUAUCAAGCAAGUAUCAACAUCGCUCCAUUCGAGCUGUUGUAUGGACGCAAGUGUCGUUCUCCAGUAUGCUGGGACGAGGUGGGUGAAGCAACGUUGUUGGGACCAGAAUUGGUAUGCAUGACAACGAAAAAAAUUCAAAUGAUCCGGCAACGUAUAACAACCUCACAAGAUCGACAAAAGAGUUAUGUUGAUCUUCAUCGAAGGGACGUGGAAUUCAAUGUUGGAGAUCAUGUGUUAUUACGUAUUGCUCCAUGCAAAGGAGCUACGAGAUUUGAAAAGAGAGGAAAACUCAAUCCUCGAUUCAUUGGCCCAUUCAAAAUCCUCGAUCGAGUAUAAGCUGUAGCCUAUAGACUCGCCUUACCGCCAAGUAUGUCUCGUAUUCAUAACGUUUUUCACAUAUUUAUGUUGUAAUAACCCGAUAUUUUCAAUAUAAUUAAAUAAAAAAUUUUGUGUAUAAUUUUUUUUUAUUUUAAAGGUGGGAAUAUUUGCAAGGUAAUGUAUAUGUAUAUAUGUGAUAAAUAAAAUUUAUUUAUUACAUGAAUAAUUUCAAAUAAUUUUCUUAGAAUUGUUGACAUUAUAAAUUAUAUUUUUAUAAUUAAUUUGGUAGUAAAAAUAUUUUUAUUAUUUAUUUUCUAUGAAAAUAUAAUUAUUAUAUUAUUUAAUAAUAUAUGGAUUGAUUAUUAGAAUUAUUAUAAUAAUUAUUUUAUCAUAUAAAUUUUAGUUUAGAUUAUUAAGUUAAUUAUUUUAACUUAAUUAAUAAUGCUAUAUAUGCAAGGUACAUAAAUUAGAUAUGGAAUCCAAACCCUAAUUUUAGAUUUUAAACAAGGAAUGAGAAUAAUAAUAUUAUAUUAAUUAUAUUUCAGUGCUAUAAAUAUGUAUUGUGUGUGUGGACUGAUAAUAAUUGGUCAAUUAUGGAGUAUAAUGUCAAAACCCUAGUAUUAAUUUGUUAAACUAUGUAGACACUCGAAAUUUUGUUUUCUUGUUACUAACUAUACAGGAGGACAAAAGCGUCUUUUUCACACUCCAGAGAUAAUCCUGGAGGACCACAACAUCAAUUCUAACCCCAGAGAUAGCUCGAGAAAUUAAUUGCAAAGUCCAGAGUCAACCCCAGGAGGUCAAGCCAACCUCAGAGAUAACCAUGAGGACAUUCAGAGUCAAUAGUAGGCCAAUCUCAGAGAUAACCCUGAGAAAAGACUGCUACAACUGCGCCAACACCGGAGAUAACCCUGGGAGGGGAAAAAUGGUCAUUUUGCCAACUCAACUUCAAAUCAAAUCACAUCAACUCAUUUCAACUCAAAACUUCUUCAAAAGAAGUCCCAAAAGAACCAUAUCUUAACUUCCGAGCGCAAACUACGCAAAACGGCUCAACGGACUGCCUAACGGAAACCCGGAAAUGCCAUUUUGGUCAUGGACCCAUCUUCCUAGAAUCAAAAAAAGGGCAAAUCCUAUGUCAUUGUAUAGAUCUCGGAAAUAGCUUUUCAGAAUGGUAUGGCAUGCCUCAAUCAGAGGCUCGGAUUGAAGUUCUACAAGUUCGAGCGGACAUCAUGUUACACGCGUGCACGUACUUUGAGAUAGCGGGACUCGCAGAGCCGGGGCACCCCGAGCAGCCGCAGGUGCAUCUGCGGCUCCAAGCUCUAUAAAUUGGGGUGGCCAUAUUUACAAGAGAAAAGGCGAGGAAGCCCUGUCAAAUUUUCUCUGUACACACCCUAUAUUGAGUGCUUUCUCAUUUUAAACACUUGUAAGCUCACAUAUAGCUAUAUUUUUACUAGCAGGAGCUGAGUGAUCAUCCACUUAGAGUCAUAGACGUCUUCUUUAGUAGCCCACUGUAAGCCUUCUUACACACUAUAAAGCCUUUCUCUUCAUCUUUGUACACAUUCUUCUUCACAUUAAGAGUUGUGUUGUGUGUGUAUGCCCGGACUCUGGUCUGUGGUUUUCAUUUCUGUUUGUAUAUAUAUAUAUAUAUAUAUAUAUAUAUAUAUAUUUACAUUUCUGUCAGGCCUGGAGUUUACUUCGUGGCCUUUUACUGCUUUAUUUACAUUCCGUCCCGCCUGGAGUUUACUUCGUGGCGAUUUAUCGUUUUUACUGCUUUCUUUACAUUCCGUCCUGCCUGAAGUUUACUUCAUGGUGGUUGAUCGUAUUUAUUGCUUUAUUUAUAUUUCUGAUCCCCCAUGGAGGUGCUUCGUGGUGGUUGAUCAUGUCUCUAGAUAUAUAUUUACCGCUUUUAUAUAUUUACAUUUCUGAUCCCCCAUGGAGGUGCUUCAUGGUGGUUGAUCAUGUCUGUAUAUAUAUAUAUAUUUACAGCUUUUAUAUAUAUAACUGCUUACUGCUUUUCAUAUAAACUGCGGCAUCAUGUGUGCUUAGGAAUCAUGUGAUCACAGAUUCAGUCUACUGAAUCUAGAUUUGGUUCUCGUGAUGGACAUUUUCAGCUGUAAGUAGCUUGUAAAUUAUUCACGGUGUUCGAAUUUCCUUAGAUGACUUUCAUGCCCAUAAGGAGUUCGGUACUGCUAUAUAAUAUUUUCUCGAAGAUGCUUCACAUCUCAAAAAAUAAAAGCAACCAAGCCGAACAUUUAAUAAUAAAAUGGAAGUAUCAAAGGCCUCAAUUACUAUUGAGCACAGGGUUUAAAAACCCUCUUUUACAAAACAUCAUUGCUAUAUCUUGUUUAAAACUGAAUUUUUAUACAAAUUCAAACCCUUUUGUAUAUAGGUACGAACGAGGCCUCGCACUACUUCCAAAUAAAUAGCACAUUGACCCACAGACACACACACAUACACAUUCAUAUAACAGUUUCUUGAAAAGUGGCGGUCACCGUGGUAACACGGAUGUCGGGGGGUGCCUAACACCUUCCCUCCAUAUAAUCAAGCCCCGGAACCUAAAUGAAUCUCGGUUUCACAGACCCGUUUAGCAGUGUCACAUCACUAGGUCAAUGUGCAAACCUUUUCUCGGUUGCGUUGGUGCAACCAUUUAAAAACACCAACUGGCGACUCAUACAGUCAAAUCGUCGACAUAUAAAUGUCGGACCUUUUUUACUUAUUUUUUCAAACAAAUCUCACAUAACAUAAGAACACCAAAGAACAAGAACAGAAAAGGGACAAAUAAAAAUCCUGACGUCGACAGGUUGCGACUCUGCUGGGGACUCCAGUAAGAGGGCUUAAACAACUACUAUAAUCUUUUCAAAACUGUUAUAUGCUUGUGUGUGAAUGUUGCAUUUACAUUUUUGAUGAAUAUGUACGAAUGCAUUUUACUUACUACACUGUAAUAUAUCUAUCUGUGAUAUUAGUGCUUCGCACAUGUCAUCAUUCCCAUAACGGUGAGACACGUUGUAUGUGAAUGUAUGUUGUGUGGUUCCUCCACUAGGAGGCUAUCCUGUCGGUGUUUGAUUACUGGACUCGUAGGGAGACUAAUUCCAACGAGGCUCAGGAAAGGCACCACCAAGAUUCGCUCCAGUUGAAAGACCGGAUUAACUUCCUGUCAAGUAAAUUGUGAUGAUCUGGGAACCUUCAUGCCAAAAAGCCGCGAGAGUAACCUAAGAUAGGUCAGCCUUUGAUAAACCGAACGCGGAGGAAAGUCACUUCAUGCUUUCCAUUUUCAAUUACUUGUAAAGACAAUUACUUGUAAUUUCAUUCCAUGUUAAUCUCUAUGUAAUGGAAAAUAUGAAGAAUAUGUGUACAUGCAUAUUAAGGCUUGACAUGUUAUCAAAUGACACCCAUUUUGCAGGAUAAUAUUCCUAAAAUGGACACAUUAUGAUAGCAUGAAAAUUUUUUAUACAUUCCCUAAGACUAAACUACGUAAGUCUUUUUUGUAGGGAAACAAUUGGUCCCCUUCAAAGUCCAUAAAGGCAUUAAGCCCACAGCCAAACAUGGCUAAAAGUUCCCAGCCUGAUCCUACUCAUGUCUCUCUCGAGGAGUUCGAAAGAUUAAGCUAUCAAAUUAUAGAGUUGGCUGUUAUUCUCAAAGAACUACACCAAUCUACUCAGGGUCGACAAAUACCCAUCCACACAAAAUCCUCUACACAUGGAGGAACCCAGAGCCAAACAAUGCCUACUCAAUCAGAGUCAUUCAUACCAGGGGGAAGUCAGGGUAUUGGCAAAAAGAUUGAAACCCAGAUACCUGAACCUCAUUCCAAUAAAGGAACCAACAAAACCCCUAAAAUCACAAAACUCGGGGAUGAUCGAGAAACUGGGGAUAUAAGAAAGAAAGUCCAACAAAUGGAGGAAACAAUCCGGUCAGUUAAAGGGACUGGAAACUAUGGUAGUGUCACUUAUUAAGAUCUCUGCAUAUUCCCAGGGGCUCGAUAUCCUGACAAAUUCAAAGUCCUAGAGUUUGAAAAGUACAAUGGGGCAGGCGAUCCCUAUAUGCACCUAAAAGUAUAUAUUGGCGAGUUGGGGUCUUAUGCUGAAGAUGAAAGCCUCAGAAUGCAGCUUUUACAAAAGAGUCUCACUGGAGAGGCUAAAGCCUGGUAUGCCCGACUUGACAAUGCCAAAAUCCACAAAUGGGAAGAAUUAGCCCACGCCUUUCUCAAUCAGUACUAUUUUCAGUCACAAAUGGCACCAGAUCGAUAUCAAGUGACUAAAGUCAAAAAACAAAGUACUGAAUCUUUUCGAGAAUAUGCUUAAAGGUUGAGACAUCUAGCAGUGACAGAAAAUGAGAUGGUAAUGACGUUUAUUGAUAUCCAAGAGGCUCCUUACUAUGAGAGGAUCCUAGCAGGCAUAGGAAAGCCAUUCUCGAAAAUGAUUAAACACGACAAAAUGGCAGAGAUGGGUUUAAAGGCAGGCAAGAUUAAAGACUUCACUGCCUUGGAAGCAGUCGCCAAGCAUAUACAGACUGGUAAGUAUGCGAGCGAUCCUAAGGGGGUACCCGAUAAAGGCACUGAAGAUGUAUCCCUUAUUGUACAGGGGCAAGCUAGUAGGCCAACCUACAGUCCCCCCAUUUGGAAAAAACAAGACAAUCUGCCAUUUCAAUAACAGGCUGCAUUUAACCAAUUCCAGGAUAGGAAAAAUUCUGGAUAAUCCGAUUUUCAGGGUUGUCACAAGGCCUCUACACCGAAGUUCAAAUUUGGGUUGUACCCUCCAGGGAUGUCAGCAGUAUUUAGAUCAUCAGUUCAGCCUGGUUGCGAAUCAAAAGUUCAAGGGAAUGGGGCAUAAGAACCCCAACAGUGAAAAGAAACUCUAAAUCGCCUCAGAAAAGGUGAGGAAAGUUUCUACUCCAGACACUUUAAAAUUUGCAUCGACCUAGGACAAUAGACUCCUAAGGACAAAUCUAGGUCAUCACAUCAUGCAUGAUCUGCACAUGUGCAAAAGCGCUACAUCAGCGUACAUCUCCAUCAACAUUUAACAUGCAUCUCCUGUAGAUUUAAAUAUGCGCACAUUAAUUGUCUAGAUUAGAGGAAAAAUUUGUCGUAAACAUCAGUUGGUUGUCAUCAAUCCAGCGUAACAUCAGGCAGAGUCUGGUGAAUUAAGCCAUUGAAUAUUACUUCAUCGAAGGUAUCAGAAGAAUCGGUAUUCUAAACCAUUGGCAUCAAUUCUGCAUAACAUCGGGCCAUCAAAGCUUUGUAUACCACUGUUUGAGUGGGAACCAAAAUAGUUUGGAGAUGUCAGCGUAGAAAACUACCAGCAGGGUAGGCACCGUUGUAAACUACCAGCGUAUGCAUCAGGAAGGUCCGAAGAUUCCAGAAUUUCGUCCCCAACAGAGAUGUAGAAAACAUCCAACUUAUCUUUAUCAAACAAGCAUCAGUAACACCGAUAAAAAGCCAAACCAUUGGAGUCAACACCAGCAUAUGCAUCAACAAUAACCGAUAAAGGUAAAGCGAUUUGCGAUGUGCGAAAUGCGAUUUGCGAUUUGUAAUAUGCGAAAUGCGAUGUGCGAAUUGCGAUUAGCCAAAUGCGAUGUGCGAAGUGUGAAAUGUGAUAUACGACUUACGAACUGCAAUUUGCGAAAGCAUUUUAACAUUCAUUACAUUGUGAUUUGCAUCAUUCAAAAUACCUUGUCAUAUUUCAAGUGUCUAGUAAUCUUUAUCAUGUCCAUUUCAUUGCAUUUCAUGAACAUGAUAAAGAGGGGCAUCUGUAGACACUCAAAAUUUUGUUUUCCUAUUACUAACUAUACAGGAGGACAAAAGCGUCUUUUUCACACUCCAGAGAUAACCCUGGAGGAUCACAACAUCAAUUCUAACCCCGGAGAUAGCCCGAGAAAUCAAUUGCAAAGCCCAGGGUCAACCAUGGGAGGUCAAGCCAACCUCAGAGAUAGCCCUGAGAACAUUCAGAGUCGACAGUAAGCCAAUCUCAGAUAUAACCCUGAGAAAAGACUGCUACAACUGCGCCAAAACCGGAGAUAACCUCGAGAGGGGAAAAAUGGUCAUUUUGCCAACUCAACUUCAACUCAAAUCACAUCAACUCAUUUUAACUCAAAACUUCUUCAAAAGAAGUCCCACAAGAACCAUAUCUUAACUUCCGAGCGCAAACUACGCAAAAUGGCUCAACGGACUGCCUAACGGAAACCCGAAAAUGCCAUUUUGAUCAUGGACCCAUCUUCCUGGAAUAAAAAAAGGACAAAUCCUAUGUCAUUGCAUAGUUCUCGGAAAGAGAUUUCCAGAAUGGUAUGGCACUCCUCAAUUGGAGGCUCAAAUUGAAGUUUUGCAAGUUCGAGCGGACAUCACGUUACACGCGUGCACGUACUUCGAGAUGGCAGGACCCGCGAAGCCCGGGGCACCCUGGGUAGCCGCAAGUGCAUCUGCGGCUGCCACAGGUACACUUGCGGCUCCCAGAUCUAUAAAUAUAGAGCUUGGGGUGGCCAUAUUUACAAGAAAAAAGGCGAGGAAGCCCUGUCAAAUUUGCUCUGUACACACCCUAUAUUGAGUGCUUUCUCAUUUUAAACACUUGUAAGCUCAUAUAGAGCUAUAUUUUUAUCGGCGGGAGCCGAGUGUUCAUCCACUUAAAGUCAUAGAAGUCUUCUUUGAUAGCCCACUGUAAGCCUUCUUACACACUAUAAAGCCUUUCUCUUCAUCUUCGCACACACUCUUCUUCACAUUGAGAGUCGUGUUGUGUGUGUAUGCCCGAACUCUGGUCCGUGGUUUUCAUUUAUGUUUGUAUAUAUAUACUUAUAUAUAUAUAUAUAUAUAUAUAUAUAUAAACAAAUAUACAUUUCUGUCAGGCCUGGAGUUUACUUCGUAGCCUUUUACUGCUUUAUUUACAUUCCGUCUCGCCUCGAGUUUACUUUGUGGCGGUUAAUCGUUUUUACUGGGUUCUUUACAUUCCGUCCUGCCUGGAGUUUACUUCGUGGCGGUUGAUUGCAUUUAUUGCUUUAUUUACAUUUUUGAUCCCCCAUGGAGGUGCUUCGUGGUGGUUGAUCAUAUCUCUAUAUAUAUUUACCGCUUUUAUGUAUUUACAUUUCCGAUCCCCCAUGGAGGUGCUUCGUGGUGGUUGAUCAUGUCUGUAUAUAUAUAUAUAUAUAUAUAUAUAUAUAUAUUUACAGCUUCUAUAUAUAUAAUUGCUUACUGCUUUUCAUAUAAACUGUGGCAUCAUGUAAGCCUAGGAAUCAUGUGAUCACAGAUUCAGUCCACUGAAUCUAGAUUCGGCUCUCGUGAUGGACAUUUUCAGCUGUAAGUAGCUUAUAAAUUAUUCACGAUGUUCGAAUUUCCUUAGAUGGCUUUCAUGCCCACAAGGAGUUCGGCACUGCUAUAUAUUAUUUUCUCGAAGAUGCUUCGCAUCUCAAAAAAUAAAAGCAACCAAGCCGAAUAUUUAAUAAUAAAAUGGAAGUAUCAAAGGCCUUAAUUACUAUUGAGCACAUGGUUUGAAAAACCUCUUUUACAAAACCUCAUUGCUAUAUCUUGUUUAAAACUAAAUUUUUAUACAAAUUCAAACCCUUUGUAUAUAGGUGCGAACGAGGCCUUGCACUACUUCCAAAUAAACAGCACAUUGAGCCACAGACACACACACACAUACACAUUCAUAUAAUAGUUUCUUAAAAAGUGACGGUCACCGUGGUAACACGGAUGUCGAGGGGUGCCUAACACCUUUCCUCUGCAUAAUCAAGCCCCCGAACCCAAAUGAAUCUCGGUUUCACAGACCCGUUUAGUAGUGUCACAUCAUUGGGUCAAUGUGCAAAACUUUUCUCGGUUGUGUUAGUGCAGUAAGUUAAAAAUACCAACUCGUGACUCUUACAGUCAAACUUGCACCACCUCCCCUAAUAGUAAAUCAUGUGAAUCAAUAGUAAAUCAUGUGACUCAAUAGUUCUAGAGAUGUGAAAAUAUGAAUUACAGUAUAUUACCUCCAUCUAUACCUCCAUUUUUAACUUAGUCAUGCAAGUAUUAUCAAUCUUGCACCAACUCCCCUAAUAGUAAAUGAAUGUGAAUCAAUAGUACACACAUGUGAACAAAUAGUUAUAAUCAUGUGAAUUAAUAGCAAUUAAUUGCUCAUUUAUCCGGUUAAUUACCCGAUUGGUCAAUAUAACCUCCAGACAUCAAUUAUUAUCGAAAUAAAUGUCGAUUUCCACUAACACUAAUAAUUCCAACACAAUGGAACUAUCAAUUUCAUCUUUAAUCAACACGAACUUAUUCAUCAUUAAUAUUAUAACUCACAAUAUUUAACAACCAGGUCGUUCCCAGGAAAGAGGGGGCUUUCCGAUAAGGAUUUCUCCUUAUUGGCGCGCAAUUAGGUGACCAAACCUCUCCUUGACAGAACUUCUAGACAUUGUCAUUAUUGCAAAUAAUAAUAUGAAUAACUUUGUCGUCUCAAUUAUUGAUUUAAUAAUAUAACAUAUUAUGUAGAUGAUACUGUGACAAUAAUUAAAUCAAUAAUAUGAGAGAUAUGAUGCAGCAAUUACUGUAGCAAUAAUUGAGUAUAACUGAGUGACUUCUUACGUAAGCAUCAAUAAUCAAUACCGUGUGCUACUACGCAACCACGCGUAUUACUGUACUUUACUACCGGGUAGUUCAACAGUUUUAACGGUAACACUUUCGCUGUUAUUUUUAUAAAAAGAUAAUUCUAUCGUUUUCUUAUUACGACAAUACUUCCGUUGUGGGAUCCACCAAUGAUUGUGCCGUCGUACGAAUAUUCCCUGUUAAAACGAAUAUUCCCCGACCAAUCGAAUAUUAUAUAACAACUUACUUACUUUGCAAAAUUUAUAAAUAUUAACCACAACUAUAACAUUAUAUCAAAUCCACACCAUAAUAUUAAAAAAAAUAUUUUGAGAAAUUUAAAUCUUUAUUCAUAAAAUUUGGGGUUUCACAAUAAACAUGAGGAUGAUGACAAUGAUAUAAGAAUUCAAUUAAAAGAAAGCAGAGGAUAAAUUUUUAAAGAUUUAUAAUUUAAUUUAUCCAGAAUUCAAUAACGUCCAAAUUGUCAACAUGAUACUGCUUUGUGGAGUAAAAUUCAAAAAUAAUAUUGUAUCAAAAAUUAUUUGGACCGAAAAGAAAUUAAUUUUUGUCUUGAAUAGUACCCUGAGUGAAUAGUAAUUGCGUGAAUAGUACCCCAUGAAUAGUACUUCGGGAAUCGUAACCCCGUGAAUAGUAUUCCGGCAUGAAAAAGUUAAAACUUAUCAAGAAUGCUCAGAAUAAUAUUUCCAUGAAAAGAUACUGGAUGAAGCGCAAAUAUCAAGGAUAUUCUACUAAUUUCAUUGAGUAUAGAAGCCAAAAUUUAACAAAAUGAGUGUAGAAUUCUGAAUCUGAAAUAAAAUAAUAUUACUUACAUACUACAGAGUAUGGAAGAAAAUAUUAUUUCUUACGAGUAUUGAACAAAAAUAAUAUCUCUUACCUUAAAAAGGAGAGUAUUCCAACUGGUAUAGCGGGGAUGUUCUUGAAAAAAAACUUAUACUGUUUUUUACGCUAAAAGCUUCCUAAAACUCUAAAGAAAUACGCUCAACAUUAUAGAAGAAGAAUUUUCUGUUUCUGGUGUGAUUUUCAAUUCUAACUAAGCAUCAUAUUUAUAGGAGAAUGGAAGGAUACUAUUUAGAAAAUAAAAUCACAGACUGCACAGUGGAAAGAAAAAAAAAUCAAGGACGAAGAAUUCGACGGCGAAAAUUUUAUUUUGAUUUUACUAUACAGACACUAUGCAAACACUAUGCAUAAUAAAAUAUAAUAUAUUCUAUUUUUUCAUAAAAAAAUAAAACUUAUAAUAAUAUAUAAUAUUAAUUAACUCUAUUCCCCCGGGCAACCUUUCCGCCCCCCAUUCUCAUUACCAAAAUCAAUCCACCAAAGUCAUAUAUAUAUAUAUAUAUAUAUUAUCAUACUCAUAACACACAUCAUUUUGAAAAAUGGGUAAAUGGGGGUCCAUAUAAUAAACAAAAUUUACAACAAAUACUUCAUAAAAAUCCCUUUAGUAUUUUUAAUAACAUUUAUUCAUCAUUAUUAUAACUCGCAAUAUUAACAACCAGAUCGUUCCUAGGAAAGAGGGGGCUUUCCGAUAAGGAUUUCUCCCUAUUGACGCGCAAUUAGGUGACCAAACCUCUCCUUGACAGAACUUUCUAGACAUCGUCAAUUUUGCGAGUAAUAAUAUAAAUAACUUUGUCGUCUCAAUUAUUGAUUUAAUAAUAUAUAAAAAUAUCGACAAUAAUUAAAUCAAAUAACGUGAGAUACUAUGCAGCAAUUAAUGUAGCAACAAUUGAACAAAACUGAGUGACUUCUCACGUAAGCAUCAAUAAUCAAUACCGUGUGCUACUAAGUAGCCACGCGUAUUACUGUACUUUUAUCACCGGGUAUUUCAACAGUUAACGGUAAAACUUUCGCCGUUAUUUUCAUAAAAAGAUAUUUCUGUCGUUUUCUCAUUCCGACAAUAAUUACGUUAUGGGGUCCACCAAGGAUUGUGCUGUCGUACGAAUAUUUCCUGACCAAUCGAAUAUUAUAUAACAACUUGUUUACUUUGCAAAAUUUAUAAAUAUUACCCACAACUAUAACACAAAAUUCAUACCUUAAUAUUCAAAAAUGAUAUUUAUAGAAAAAUUCAUCUUUAUUCAUAAAAGUUGGGGUCUUACACAGACUCGAUACAAAAUUUUGUGAAUGGUCACUCAAGCUAUGCAGAAUGGAAUAUCAGUCGCGGGGAAUCAGCCAGAUAAUCGAUUGACGAACUUUAAAGACUUCAAGGCAGUCGGACCACCAGGAUUUAGAGGAUCAACUGACCCUGUAGAAGUGUUUGUGAUAGCUAGGUUAAUGGAGGGGCAAAAGACAGCUUUUGCCACCUAUAUGAUGAAAGGGGAGGCAAAUUUUUGGUGAGAGACAAAUCAAACUAGAGCUUGAGAAGGGAGUAGUGGUGGUAGGACUGGAAAAAGGAAAGGAGAUAAUUUCAGAAAUACCGAAAAUAGGCCAGGAGGUGGAAAGAAACAGGUUGUGAAAUGUGGGAAUUGCGGAAAGAAUCACUCGGGAAAGUGUCUUAAAGGUAAGUUUGUGUGUUACAAGUGUGGGCAGGAGGGACAUAUCUCUCCCAACUGCCCCAAUCCUAGUAUGAAUAGUGGGUGUUUCAGGUGUGGAUCAACGGAGCAUAAGGUGAAGGACUGUCCAAAAAGGAAAAUGGAGGCAGGGAGUGUGAACACGGGGAAAAGCAGCGGGACUCUAGCGAUAACGGGACCGAAUUCAACCAGUAAAAUCAACUUCAAGAGUCUUCAACAAGACGGUCCAGGAUACCGUUGCAGCUGGUGAUGGAACUCCAGGUAUUAUUCGUAUAACUUUUAUUUUCUUAUACAUGAUUUUCCUAUAUAUAGUAAAUUAUUUUAUAAAGAAAUUUUGAAGAAGGAAUUUGAGUUCUAUUAGAAAUCAAUUUUUCGUUUAAUCAAAUAGACAAGCUUUAUGUUGAAUAGUUAAAGAUCAGUUCGAUCAAAUUUGAUCGAGAUCUACUUGAAAUGAUUGUGUAUGCUAUGCACCCUAGUAUGUAUAUGUUUUAAAACGGUGAUUCCGGGGAUGGAAUCUUUAUAAGGGAGGGUGAAUGUAAUAACCCGAUAUUUUCUAUAUAAUUAAAUCAAAAAUUUUGUGUAUAAUUUUUUUUUAUUUUAAAGAUGGGAAUACGUGCAAUAUAAUGUGUAUGUAUUUAUGUGAUAAAUAAAAUUUAUUUAUUACAUAAAUAAUUUCAAAUAAUUUUCUUAGAAUUGUUGACAUUAUAAAUUAUAUUUUUAUAAUUAAUUUGGUAGUAGAAAUAUUUUUAUUAUUUAUUUUCUAUGAAAAUAUGAUUAUUAUAUUAUUUAAUAAUAUAUAGAUUGAUUAUUAGAAUUAUUAUAAUAAUUAUUUUAUUAUAUAAAUUUUAGUUCAGAUUAUUAAGUUAAUUAUUAUAACUUAAUUAAUAAUGCUAUAUAUGCAAGGUACGUAAAUCAGAUAUGGAAUCCAAACCCUAAUUUUAGAUUUUAAACAAGGAAUGAGAAUAAUAAUAUUAUAUUAAUUAUAUUUCAGUGCUAUAAAUAUGUACUGUGUGUGUGGACUGAUAAUAAUUGGUCAAUUAUGGAGUAUAAUGUCAAAACCCUAGUAUUAAUUUGUUAAACCCUAUUUUAAAAUUUAAAUAGGCGUUCAAGACUGGGUAGUGAUUGUGUUAUAUGAUUUAUGUUGCGUAUUAUAGAAUUUAAUGUUAAUUAGAAAAACCCUAAUUAAUAUUUGGAAACUCUAAUUGUUAGAAACCCUAAUUUCUAAAAUUAGAAACCCUAUUUGUUAUUUAGUAACCCUAAUUAUCAAAUUGGAGCCCUAAUUGCUAAAUUAGCAAUCUUAAUUAUAAUUAGUAAAACCUAAACCUAAUUUUCAAGUCUAUGUAAUUAGGAAACCUAAAUUAAUUUAGAAACCCUAAUUUAUAAUUUAAGAAACUAAAAAUUGUACAUUUUAAAGCAAAUUACAAAAUCCUAGAAAUCCAUAUUUCUUAAAACCUUAGGGUUAAACUAUGACGCCCCCAAAACAGGUAUACAUCACCCAUCUUGGGUCGCCAGAUACAUGGAACAGAACUCAACUACAAACUUCUUUAUAUACAACUGUCGUGCAAAAUACGACAAAACAUAGCUAAGAGUUUAAACACGAAUAUUGCCUUCUAGACAAUAUCCACACUCAAUGGAGUCCUCAUUACAAUUAUUAUCACACUAUUUUAUAAAAAUAGUGAGGACUACUAUAUCCACCAUCUCGGACCAUCACUCUAUUCCCUGACUCAUUCCAGCUAUAUUCUCAUUUCCUGAAGAGAACAGUGAAAGAAAUGGGUGAGCUCAACUAGCCUAGUAAGAAAUAUUAUGACUAAGAUAAUGCAAAAUAAAUUAUCCUUAGCCUUCAACAGGGUUAAACUGAUAAAAUACAAUAAACAUCAAGUUUAACUGCAGCGGAAUAAGCAAUCCAUUAGAAGAGUCAAGUAGAACAUAAUGUCUAUUAUCUCCUCUAGAUUAAAAUUCCAUCGUUAAUAUUUUAUUCCUGUAAUACUCAUCAACAGUUCUUUGUCAUACCCAAGACAAAAAGAACUAUCAUCACCUGUCUUCACCUGAACCACCAAAGAUUAUAGUUAAAUCCAUAAUUCAUUUUUAUAAUCAUGUAAAUAAAUAAUUUCUCCUUGCCACAAAGGCUUAAUAGAACUUUACUCAAUAUCUUUACCCCAAAGGCUAAAGAUAUUCAAAUGUAAUAACAAUGAUCAUACCAAUCAGUUGUCUACCUUUGCACUACGGGUCAAAGAUAUUCAAAUAUAAAACCAAUGGUCAUGAUCAUACCAAUCAAUUGUCUGUCAGUGCACUACGGCCAAAGACAUUCAACUAUUAACUAAUGGUCAUGAUCCUGCNNNNNNNNNNNNNNNNNNNNNNNNNNNNNNNNNNNNNNNNNNNNNNNNNNNNNNNNNNNNNNNNNNNNNNNNNNNNNNNNNNNNNNNNNNNNNNNNNNNNNNNNAUCACAUUAUCGAAUUAACCCUGCACUACGGCCAAGGAUAUUCGUUAGUAUCACCAGUGGUCAUGAUCAUGUCAUACACCUGUCCAUCUUUGCACGUAAGCCAAAGAUAUACAACUAUAAAACCAAUAAUCAACAGUCCAUCUUUGCACGUAAGCCAAAAACCAAUAAUCAAUCGUCCAUCUUUGCACGUAAGCCAAAGAUAUACAAUUAUAAAAUCAAUAAUCAACAGUCCAUCUUUGCACGUAAGCCAAAGAUGACUUUCAUCACAAUAUAAGCAUGAGGAUGAUGACAAUGAUAUAAGCAUUAAUCAAACGAAAUCAAGGAUAAAUAUUAAAGACUUUAAAUUUAUCCAGAGUUUAAAAAUAUCCAAAUUGUCAACAUGAUACUGCUUUAUAGAGUAAAAUUCAAGAAUAAUAUUCAUGUACCAAAAAUAAUUUGGACAGAAAAGAAAUAUAUUUUUUGGGUAAAUAGUUCCUCGUGAAUAGUACCCUGUGAAUAGUACUUUGUGAAUAGUACCUCGUGAAUAGUAUCCUGGCAUAAAAAAUACCCCAAAUACCCGAGUGAAUAAUAUUCGGGUGAAUAGUAAUUUGGGUGAAUAGUAACCUGUGAAUAGUAACUCGUGAAUAGUACUCUGACACGAAAAGUGCCCCGAAUACCGAAUGAAUAAUACUAGACUGAAUAGUAACUGGGUGAAUAGUAACUCGUAAAAAAUACCAAAGAAAAUGAUAUUCCAUGACGAGUACAAAAGAAAUGAUAUCUCAUACGAGUAUAAUAGAAUAUACGAAACUGCAAAUGNNNNNNNNNNNNNNNNNNNNNNNNNNNNNNNNNNNNNNNNNNNNNNNNNNNNNNNNNNNNNNNNNNNNNNNNNNNNNNNNNNNNNNNNNNNNNNNNNNNNNNNNNNNNNNNNNNNNNNNNNNNNNNNNNNNNNNNNNNNNNNNNNNNNNNNNNNNNNNNNNNNNNNNNNNNNNNNNNNNNNNNNNNNNNNNNNNNNNNNNNNNNNNNNNNNNNNNNNNNNNNNNNNNNNNNNNNNNNNNNNNNNNNNNNNNNNNNNNNNNNNNNNNNNNNNNNNNNNNNNNNNNNNNNNNNNNNNNNNNNNNNNNNNNNNNNNNNNNNNNNNNNNNNNNNNNNNNNNNNNNNNNNNNNNNNNNNNNNNNNNNNNNNNNNNNNNNNNNNNNNNNNNNNNNNNNNNNNNNNNNNNNNNNNNNNNNNNNNNNNNNNNNNNNNNNNNNNNNNNNNNNNNNNNNNNNNNNNNNNNNNNNNNNNNNNNNNNNNNNNNNNNNNNNNNNNNNNNNNNNNNNNNNNNNNNNNNNNNNNNNNNNNNNNNNNNNNNNNNNNNNNNNNNNNNNNNNNNNNNNNNNNNNNNNNNNNNNNNNNNNNNNNNNNNNNNNNNNNNNNNNNNNNNNNNNNNNNNNNNNNNNNNNNNNNNNNNNNNNNNNNNNNNNNNNNNNNNNNNNNNNNNNNNNNNNNNNNNNNNNNNNNNNNNNNNNNNNNNNNNNNNNNNNNNNNNNNNNNNNNNNNNNNNNNNNNNNNNNNAUUUUCACUAACACUAAUAAUUCCAACACAAUGGAACUAUCAAUUUCAUCUUUAAUCAACACGAACUUAUUCAUCAUUAAUAUUAUAACUCACAAUAUUUAACAACCAGGUCGUUCUCAGGAAAGAGGGGGCUUUCCAAUAAGGAUUUCUCCCUAUUGGCGCGCAAUUAGAUUAUCUAACCUCUCCUUGACAGAACUUCUAGACAUUGUCAAUAUUGCAAAUAAUAAUAUGAAUAACUUUGUCGUCUCAAUUAUUGAUUUAAUAAUAUAACAUAUUAUGUAGAUGAUACUGUGACAAUAAUUGAAUCAAUAAUAUGAGAGACAUGAUGAAGCAAUUACUGUGGCAAUAAUUGAGUAUAACUGAGUGACUCUCACGUAAGCAUCAAUAAUCAAUACCGUGUGCUACUAUGCAACCACGCGUAUUACUGUACUUUUAUCACUGAUUAUUUUUGACAACCUGUUUACUUUGAAAUUUUUUUACAUAUCACCCUUAAUUUUAACCUUUUAUCAAUUUAACCAUUUACUAAAUAAAAUAAUUAUAAGAAAAUUGAAUACUUUUAUUUCAUAAAAUCUGGGGUCUCACGUAAACCCUAAGGGUCAAACCCUAAGGGUUUGUCAAGAUUACAAUUUGGCCAUUAAAAUUAGAUUGCAAAUGACCUAAAUGCCCCUCUUGCAUUAUAUGAGAUAACUUGUGUAUCUUGCCAUAUUUGUAGUAGGUAACCAACCAAGAUUGCACAUGUGACUAAAUAUAACAAAUAUCAGUCACAAAUUAUCAGCAAAUUCAUUGUAUCCAAGUUAUAUAUAUAGAUUCAAGAGAGAGAAAAGUCACUUAUUAAACCCAUUUGUUCAACUUGCUCUCCACCAAUCCUCUCUCUUUCAAAACCUACGAAAUAUAUUAGUACUUCAGUCCCAAAACAAAGCCCCACUAUCUCCUCUAACAAAUCGGAAGCCUUAGAUUCAAGUUUUGCUCAAAAAGAGGUAUAAAACCUAAUUUAUAAUUUGAUCUCAGUUGCUAUGUUAAAUGUUAUGUGUUUGUGUUUAAACAUGUUAUUUGUAGUAUAUAUAAGUGAUCUGGGUUGAUAGAUGUUAGAUCCAUAACAUCUAUAGGCUCGGAUUUGAAGAUUUCAAAAAUCUGGAAAUUUUAAAAAAAUGGUCUGACAGUCGAAUGUCAGGGCCCAUAGAUCUUUACCUGUUAGUUGAUUGUUGUGUUUUAUGUUGUAGAUCGGUUCUAUGUCAUGUGGACUAUGAUCUCUAACAUCAUGCUUAUAUUAUGUAUAUAUUACAAGUUAUUAAUGGUCAAAGGUCGUUGACCGACCAUGACUUUACAAAUCUGGGUAACCCAGAAUUUUUCCAUAAGUUUGACAACGUUUUUGCAGGGCUCUGAUCUUGCGUAUGUUUGAUAUUUAGGUCAUGUUGUUGUUUUAAUGUUGUAGUAUGCUACAUGGACUACAUAUCCAUGUCAUUAUAUCACUCAGAUCUUGCAUAGGAUCAUAGAUAAUCGUGGUCAAACAAUGGUUGACCAACUUGCCGGAUGAAGAUUCUGGGUAACCCAGAAAUCUUCAAAGGCAGCUUCUGACAUGCUUUUGACCGACCUAGAUCUCAUUGUUAUGAUGUUGUUAGAUUGAUUUGAUGAUAUGUUGUUGUUCCUUGACACAAGUACUAUAAAAUAGAACCUUUAGUUCACACAAACAAGCUAUAGAAUGCAAGUUAUUAGGAUCUAAAAGUAUGAACAUGAACUGUUCUUCAUUUCUGGGUAACCUAGAAAUGAAGAACAGCCUCUGACAACAACUUUGAGAGAUUAUAUCUCUUUGUUAUGAUCUAGUAUGGCCAUGAAAUCAGUUGGUGGUUAUAGUAUUACAUGAAUACUACAUUCUUAAUACUUUAGCAGCCCAGAAAAUGUAAGGAUCAAAGAAUUACACUUGGUCAAACCUAGUACCUAGUAAACUGUCUAUGAAGGCUCAAGAACACCAAAGGCUACACUUUAUGUCGCUAAAGGCUAUAGCGACAGUUUAUUUAAUUUUAUUUAAUUUAUUAUCUAAAAAUUAAUUUAAAAUAGUAAUUAAUUUAUAAAAAUUCCAAAAAUAGUUUUAAAAAUUAUUUUAAGUUAUAAAAACUAACUUUUAAUAAUUUGGCAUAUUUUUCAUAAAUAUUAGUAUUUAUUUAAAUAUUAUUGAUAUUUAAUUUAUUUAAUAAAUAUAUUAAAUAAAUUAAUUAAAAAUGAUUUUAUUAUAUUAAAAAUCAUUUUAAAUGAUAAUAAGGUAUUUAAAAAUAUUUUAAGUUAUAAAAUGUGACGCCCCCAAAAUAGAUAUACAUCACCCAUUCUGAGUAGCCAAAUACAUGGUACAUAAUACAAAUACACACUUAAAUAUACAACAUAAGCUGUGAGUUUUAAUACAAAUAUUGUCUUCUAGACAGUAUUCAAACUAAAAAUAAGUCCUCAAUAUAUUUAUUAUAACUAUUUCACAGAAUAGUGAUGACUACUAAUACAAACAUCUUGACCGUCACUCUGUUCCCCCGACUAGUCCCAGCUAUAUUCUCAUUUCCUGAAGAGAACAAUGAAACCAAAGGGUGAGCUCAACUAGCCCAGUAAGAAAUAUUAUGACUAAGAUAAUGCAAUAUAAAUUAUCGUUAGCCUUCAACAGUGUUAAACUAAUAAAAUACAAUAGACAUCAAGUUUAACUGCAGCGGAACAAGCAAUCCAUUAGAAGAGUCAAGUAGAACAUGAAAUCUAAUAUCUUCUAUGAUUUAAAAAGUUUAUCAAUAGUUUUAUCGCUGAGACUCAGCUUAAUAAAUAAUCCACAUCAUCGAAUCAUCCCUGCACUACGGCCAAGGAUAUUCAUUAGUAUCACGACCACAAAUUAUCCAUGCACUACGGGCUAAGGAUAUUCGUGUUUUUAUCAAUGGUCAUGAUCAUGCCAACAACUAUCCAUCAAUGCACUACGGGCCAAGAAGGACUUUUACCACAUCAUUUAUAAUAUUAUGGUCAUGAUUAUACCGAAUAGUCCCUGGUCAUAAUCAUACCAAGUCCAUCUAUGCAUUACGGGCCACAGAUGACUUUCAUCAUAAUAUAAACAUGAGGAUGAUGACAAUGAUAUAAGAAUUCAAUUAAAAGAAAGCAAAAGAUAAAUUUUUAAAGAUUUAUAAUUUAAUUUAUCCAGAAUUCAAUAAUAUCCUAAUUGUCAACAUGAUACUGCUUUGUGGAGUAAAAUUCAAGAAUAAUAUUGUAUCAAAAAUGAUUUUGACCGAAAAAAAAUUAAUUUUUGUCAUGAAUAAUACCUCGGGUGAAUAAUAACUGCGUGAAUAGUACCUCGUGAAUAGCACUUCAGGAAUUAUAAUCCCGUGAAUAGUAUUCCGGCAUGAGAAAGUUAAAACUUAUCAAGAAUGCUCAGAAUAAUAUUUCCAUGAAAAGAUACUGGAUGAAGCACAAAUAUCAAGGAUAUUCUACUAAUUUCAUAGAGUAUAAAAGCCAAAACUUAACAAAAUGAGAGUAGAAUUCUGAAUCUGAAAUGAAAUAAUAUUACUUACAUACUACAGAGUAUGGAAGAAAAUAUUAUUUCUUACGAGUAUUAAACAAAAAUAAUAUCCCUUACAUUAAAAACGAGAGUAUUCCAACUGGUAUAGCGGGGAUAUUCUUGAAGAAUACUUAUACUGUUACGCUCAAAGCUUCCUAAAACUCUAAAGAAAUACGCUCAAUAUUAUAGAAGAAGAAUGUUCUGAUUUUGGUGUGAUUUUCAAUUCUAACUAAGCAUCCUAUUUAUAGGAGAAUGGAAGGAUACUAUUUAGAAAAUAAAAUCACGGACCGCACAGUGGAAAGAAAAAAAAUCACGGACGAAGAAUUCGACGGAAAAAUUUUUAUUUUGAUUUUACUAUGCAGACACUAUGCAAAUACUAUGCAUAAUAAAAUAUAAUAUAUUCUAUUUUUUCAUAAAAAAACAAAACUUAUAAUAAUAUAUAAUAUUAAUUUACCCUCUUCCCCCGGGCAACCUUUCCGCCCCCCAUUCUCAUUACCAAAAUUAAUCCACCAGAGUUAUAUAUAUAUAUAUAUAUAUAUAUNNNNNNNNNNNNNNNNNNNNNNNNNNNNNNNNNNNNNNNNNNNNNNNNNNNNNNNNNNNNNNNNNNNNNNNNNNNNNNNNNNNNNNNNNNNNNNNNNNNNUCGCAGUAUUAACAACCAGAUCGUUCCUAGGAAAGAGGGGGCUUUCUGAUAAGAAUUUCUCCCAAUUAGCGCGCAAUUAGGUGACCAAAUCUCUCAUUGAUAGAACUUUCUAGUCAUCGUCAAUAUUGCAAGUAAUAAUAUGAAUAACUUUGUCGUCUCAAUUAUUGAUUUAAUAAUAUAUAAAAACAUCGACAAUAAUUGAAUCAAAUAACGUGAGAUACUAUGCAACAAUUAUUGUAGCAAUAAUUGAACAAAACUGAGUGACUUCUCACAUAAGCGUCAAUAAUCAAUACCGUGUGCUACUAUUCAACCACGCGUAUUACUGUACUUUUAUCACCGGGUAUUUCAACAGUUAACGGUAAAACUUUCGCCGUUAUUUUCAUAAAAAGAUAUUUCUGUCGUUUUCUCAUUCCAACAAUAAUUACGUUGUGGGCUCCACCAAUGAUUGUGCCAUCGUACGAAUAUUCCAUGUUUAAAACGAAUAUUCCUCGACCAAUCGAAUAUUAUAUAACAACUUGCUUACUUUGUAAAAUUUAUAAAUAUUACCCACAACUAUAACAUUAUAACAAAUUCACACCUUAAUAUUCAAAAAUGAUAUUUAUAGAAAAAUUUAUCUUUAUUCAUAAAAGUUGGGGUCUUACAUAAAAUAUAACUUUUAAUAUUUUAAAGAAAAUUUCAUUAAUUAUUUAAUAUUAAUGAUAUUAGAAUUAUUUAAUAAUUAUAUUAAAUAAAUUAGUUUAAAAAUGAUUUUAAUAUUAUAAAAAUUAUUUUAAAUGAAAAUAAAGUGUUUAAAAAUAUUUUAAGUUAUAAAAUAUAACUUUUAAUAUUUAAAGGAUAAUUUCAUUAAUAAUUUAAUAUUAAUGAUAUUAGAUUUAUUUAUUAAUUAUAUUAAAUAAAUAAUUUAAAAAUGAUUUUAUUUAUUUAAAAAUCAUUUAAAAAAGAUAUAAAUGAAUUAAAAAUAUUUUAAGUUAUAAUAAAUGACUUUUAAUAUUUUGAUAAAUAAUAUAUUAAUAUUUAAAUAUUAAUUAUAAUUAUUUAAAAAUGAUUUUAAUUAUUUUAAAAAUCAUUUAAGGGUAAUAUUAAUACUUUAAAAAUAUUCUAAGUUAAUAUAAAAAACUUUAAUAUUUUGGCAAUGGUUUCAUUAAUAUUUUAAUAUUAAUUAAAUAUUAAUGAUAAUAGAAUUACUUAAUAUUUAAAUCAUUUAAUAAUGAUUCCGAUGUUUGAAAAAUCAUGAUAAAUUAUAAUAAUUAAUUAAAAAUUAUUAUAAGUCAUUUAAAAAUAAUAUGACUCAUAUUUAAGUUAUUUAAAUGGAUAUUGAACUACAGGAUAGAGUCUUAGACCUGAUAAUUACCCGAUAAAGUCGUCGGUACACCGACAUGUUUCAGAAAUUCAUCUGGACUUAUAUAAAUUGACUAUAUACGUGUUUGUUUGUGAUCCAAUGACUGCUAAACAUAUGUGACAAUGUGGUUAGGUUAUAUGCUGACUGCAAAUAGCAGUACUAAGUGAUAUGUUAUGUUAUUCUAAUCGAUAAAAUGAUCUUAUUAAUGAUAGGUCUUGAUAUAAAAGAUAAAACUAAGUUGUAUAAGCAGCAGAUCAGGAAAGUAUCCUAUCUUUGCAUUUACUUUAUGCAAUGGACAUGCGUAAGCAAAUAUCGGAACUAUUCUUUUUCAUUGUUCAAAUAUCUUUACCUUUGUAUAUACUUAUGCAUUGAUUCUGUAUAAGUAAGUUAUUAGAUUAUAAUAUGUUGUACAAGUUCCUUGAUUCUGUUAUUAUAGAUCAAGAUAUAUAUUCUGUUCGUUAAUUUCUAAGCGUGGUUAUACAAGUGACCUCACUUGGAUAAUUAUGUUAUUUAAUCACAUGUUGAUAUAUAGCUAUUGAUUUCUGGUAUGUAUACAUUAAUUAAAAUCCGUCUAAGCUAUUUGACCCAGCUAGACACAGAUUUAGAAAUAUCGUUGAACAUGAUAGCACUUUAUUGUAUCCAAUCAAAUUGUUUUGGUUCGGAUUCCCGACUAAGUAUGAACAUCUCGAACAUGGGAAAAUUUUUGUGCGCCUAAGGCGGAUAAGAUGAACGAAAAUAUCAUUCUUAUAUGUAGUAUUGAUCAAUACAGGGCACAUUGGGAUGAUCACCCUCGUGCCUGUAAGUUAUGAUGGUUUGCGGAUGAAGUUCUGCUAAAUCUUAGCAAAAAUUAAAAACAAUGUUCAUAGUCUGUCGAAUGAUCUUCAUUUAUAGUCAGUACAUAAUUUCAAAAAUUUGAUAUAGAAUUGAUAUGUUGUUAUUAUUGGUUCAGCUUACUUCACAACUGUUAAUUCGUUGUAAAAGUGUCAUUCAAAGAAAAUAUUUAAUCCUUUCAGCUAAUAUUUAUUGUUGCUAUUACUUGUUGGGCAAUCAAAUGCUCAUUCUUGCUUUAAAUUUAAAUGUUUUCAGCUAAGCGUGAUCAACCUGAAGGUUCAGGCGAGAACAAGGGAAAAGAAAAGGAAACGGAAUAAGUUUAAUGGUAUAUUUUGUAAUAGUUAGACAUUAUUAAGACAAUGGUAUUUAUUAUCUAUCAUGUAAUGAAUGUUUAAAGGUUGCGUACUUUGGAUUAGACUUUGAUAUAUGUAUAUUAAGUUUGAUAUUUAUGUUAUUGUUAUUAUUAUUAGUAUUAUUCCGCUCAUAGAAAUGGUAUUGUGAAGCACCGAGUUCGGGUUUCAAGUUCUUGAAUUUGGGGGCGUCAAAUAUGUUACAUAAAUAUGUGAAAGACCCGAACCACACUAUUGAAUUAGAACUAGACGAGAUAGCAGAAUAUUUAACAUAUGAAGAGUUACCUGUUAAAAUUUUGGAUAAAAGGAACAUAUUCUACGCUCCAAAGUUAUACCUCAUGUCAAAGUUUUGUGGAGAACCGACGAUAUUGAGGUAAUGACCUGGGAGUUAGAAUAUCAAAUGAAAUCAAGGUAUCCUCACCUCUUCGAUAUACCAGGUACAUACACCAAUUUCGAGGACCAAAUUUCAUAAGAAGGAGAGGUUGUAAGACCCCAACUUUUAUGAAUAAAAAUUUAAUUUUCUCGAAAUAUCUUUUUGAAUAAUAAGGUGUGGAUUUGAUAUAAUGUUAUAGUUGUGGGUAAUAUUAACAAAUUUUGUAAAGUAAGAAAAUUGUUAUAAAAUAUUCGUUUGGUCAGGGAAUAUUUGUUUUAUCAAGGAAUAUUCGUACGACGGCACAAUCAUUGGUGGAACCCACAACAGAAUUACUUUCGGAGUUAGAAAACUACAGAAAUAACUUUUUUAUAAAAAUAACGGCAAAAGUUUUACCAUUAACUAUUGAAAUACCCGGUGAUAAAAGUAAAAUAAUACGCGUGGUUACAUAGUAGCACACGGUAUUGUACAAUAUCUUUGAUUAUUGAUGCUUACGUGAGAAGUCACUCAGUUUUAUUCAAUUAUUGCCACAGUAGUUGAUGCAUAGUAUCUCAUAUUAUUGAUUCAAUUAUUGUCACAGUAUCAUCUGCAUAAUAUUUUAUAUUAUUAAAUCAAUAAUUGAGAUGACAAAGUUAUUCAUAUUAUUAUUUAUAUUAUUGACAAUGUCUAGAAAGUUCUGUCGAGGAAAUAAUUUUGGUCACCUAAUUGUACGCCAAUAAAGAGAAGUCCUUAUCGGAAAGCCACUUCUUUAUUGGGAAUUAUUUGAUUGUUAAUAUUGUGAGUUAUAAUAUUAAUGAUAAAUAAGUUCGUGUUGAUUAAAGAUAUGAAUAAUAAUCUAUGAGUGGAAGAUGUUUGUUCAAUUAUCCUUUUAAAUUGGUAUUUUUCUAUUUGGUUUUGAAAAAUAUGGAAUUCUUUUACAUGGAGUAGCCCUCAUUUACCAAAACUGUCAAGAGGCGUAUUUUUAUUUUUGGCAGAUGAAUUUUCCCUUCACAAAGGGGUAAAUUUUGAUUGGCUAAUCAUUUUUUUUCUUAUAUUAGUAUUCCCUUUAAUGAAGGGUAGCCUCUGAUUGGCUAAUCCAUUCUAUUUGCUAGUUACCUUCAAAAGAGGGUACUCCCUCAUUGGUCCUUAUCUCCCACUUUGUUAGUUACCUCCUCAAGAGGGCCCUCCCUUAUUGGUGGUCUCAAAUAUUCGCUAAUAAAAUUGUGUCCGAAUAUUUUUACUGUGCGUCCGUGAUUAUUUUCCUAAAUAGUAUCAUGUAAUUCUCCUAUAAAUAGGAUGCUUAGUUUAGAAUUGAAAAUCACACCAGAAUCAGAGAAUUAUUCUUCUAUAAUAUUGAGCGUAUUUCUUUUGAGUUAAGGAAGUUUAGAGUGUAGAAAACAGUAUAAGUUUUCUUCAAGAAUAUCCCCGCUAUACCAUUCAGAAGUACUCUCCUUUUUAAGGUAAGGGAUAUUAUUUUUGUUUAAUAUUCGCAAGAAAUAAUAUUUUCUUCCAUACUCUGUAGUAUGUAAGUAAUAUUAUUUCGUUUCAAAUUCUGAAUUCUACAUUCAUUUUGUUAAGUAUUGCUUCUAUACUCCUUGAAAUUAGUAGAAUAUCCUUGAAAUUUGCGCUUCAUUUAGUAUCGCUUCAUAAGAAUAUUUUUUUAAACAUUCUUGUUAAAUUUUGAUCUUUUCAUGUCGGGGUACUAUUCAUAAAGUACUAUUCACAGGGUACUAUUCACUCAGGUUCUAUUCACCCGGAGCACUAUUUAUGACAAAAUUGAUUUUUUUUCCUAUUCAAAUUAUUUUUGAUACAUGGAUAUUAUUCUUGAAUUUUACUCUACAAAGAAGUUAUCAUGUUGAUAAUUUAGGCAUUCUUGAACUUUGGAUAAAUUGAUUUAUAAAUCUUUAAAAUUUAUCCUUGCUCUCACUUAAUUGAAUUUUUAUAUCAUUGUCAUCAUCCUCAUGCUUAUAUUAUGAUAAAAGUCAUCUUUGGUCCGUAGUGCAUAGAUGGAUUGUUGAUUGGUAUGAUUAUGACUAUGUAUCAGUAUAAUCAUGACCUGUAAUAUUACAAAUAAUUUGGUAAAAGUCCUCAUUGGCCCGUAGUGCAUUGAUGGACAGUUGUUUGGCAUGAUCAUGACCACUGGUGAUACUAACGAAUAUCCUUGGCUUGUAGUGCAUGGAUAAUUCGUGGAUGUGAUAAUAAUGAAUAUCCUUGGCCUGUAGUACAUGGAUAAUUCAUGGAUGUGAUACUAACGAAUAUCAUCGGCCCGUAAUGCAUGGAUAAUUCAUGGAUGUGAUACUAACGAAUAUCCUUGACCCGUAGUGCAUGGAUAAUUUGAGGAUGUGGAUUAUUUAUUGAUUUGUGUUACAACGAUAAAAUAUUGAUGAUGAACUUUUAAAUCAUAGAAGAUAGUAGAUAUCAUGCUCUACUUGAGUCUUCUAAUGGAUUGCUUGUUCCGCUGGAGUUAAAUUUGUUGUCUAUUGUAUUCUAUCAGCUGUUAUAUUGUUGAAGGCUAAGGAUAAAUUAUUCUUCAUUAUCUUAGUCAUAAUAUUAUUUACUGGGCUAGUUGAGCUCACCCUUUUUCUUUUAUUGUUCUAUUCAGGAAAUGAGAAUAUAGCUGGGACUAGUCGGGGAAUGGAGUGACGGUCCAUAUGGUUGCUAUAGUAAUCCUCACUAUUCUGUGAAAUAGUGUGAUAAUAAUUGUAAUGAGGACUUAAUUUGAGUUUGGAUAUUUUCUACAAGACAAUAUUCGUGUUAAAACUCUCAGUUUACGUUUGUCGUAUUGUAUAAAUUAAGUUUGUAUUUGAAUUAUGUACCAUAUAUUUGGCGAUUCAGAAUGGGUUGUGUAUACCUACUUUGGGGGCGUCACAGUAAUAUAAGAUUACUACAUUUAGACACCCAAAUUUGUGCAUUUUUCCUUUAAUAGUGAUAGGAAGAUAAAAGCGUCAUUUCACCCCAAUGCUAAGGUUUCUAAGCAAAGAUUGCAAGGCUCAGGACAAAUAUUUGUAGCCCCCACAUUAACCUCUAAGCAACAGACUACACAAGGCAAGACGAGUGACUAGUAGAAGUUUUUGGAAGGAGGGUUCUUCCCCCUUUUUCCCUAUCUUACAGAUCUGAACUUGAUCAAACUUGAUGUCUUUGUCUAGCUAUCGAAAAGAGUUUUUCGGAUUGGUAUGGCAUUAUUCCUAACUCUUCCCAGUUUGAAAGUUAUGGACGUUUCAACACGAAGCAGUAAAAAUCAACGUCGCUACACAAAAAUUAAGGCAGGUGAGCCCCACUGUGACGCCCCCAAAUUUAGAUACAUGUACCUCGAUUCUGAUGUUUCGUGAUUCAACUCAUAUAUCAUACUAUUAACAACUCAUAGCGAAAUAAUAAAAAUAAUUACAUUGAUAUAAUAUAAUUAUUCACGUCCCAACUCUCGAAACCGUUACUAAUACAUAACACCACUUAGGGGGAGGGGUUUGAUAAAAAGUGAAUGAAAUGGUUCUAAAUCUGAAUGAGCUGAAUGAAACUGAAUACUGAAUGAAAAAAGUUGUUUGAUAAUUAACAUGUUUGAAACAUCUGAAUAACAGAUUUUUAUUAUUUUACCACUUUAAAAAAAUUCAAAAUUAUUGUAAAUUUAUUUAAUAUUACUUAAUAUAAUACUUAAUAUGGUGAUAAAAAAUGCUUCAUUCAGCCAAAAAAUGACACUAAACCAUUCAACCCGUCUAAAUGGUUGACCGAUUCAGCCAUUCAGACGAUAUUUUUAAAAAAAAGAAACGCCGUGAAUGGCUGACCGAUUCAGUCAUUCAGUGCGUAACAAAACAAUCCCUUAGUUCAUAAUAUUUAUAAGUUUUAAUAUAUAUAAAGAACAUGAUCCUAACAUAGUGGAACAAAGCUAUUCCGUAGCCUUGCAUUUGCCCUUAUCUUUUUCCUGAGUUUCUGUCUCGUUCUGUUUUAACUGUACUAUUUAAGAAAAGCAAGAGUGAACAAGAAGUUUGCUCAGCAAUUAUAAAACCAACAAUAAUAUAUGGUCAUGCUCAAGGUUUAGAAAUUUUAGAAGCUUAGUCAAUUGAAAAGCAGUUUAUGAACUAAAUUGGACGAAUUGGAUACAUAAUUUUAACAAUUUCAAGGUCUGAACAUUUUUAUUACUGAGUGGUCGAUGCGGACCAUUAACUCUGUGGAAGGAUUAUCACUGUAUGAUUGUAAGCCUUCGAUAACAGGUAUAUGAGGUGAUCAGCCUCGUCGUACCUUACAUUAUACAUUACUUUUAGAUAUGUUGUAAGACCCCAAAUUUUAUGAAAUAAAAGUAUUAAUUUUUUCUUAUAAUUAUUAUUCAGUAAUUGGUUAAAUUUAUAAAAGGUUAAAGUUAAGUGUGAUAUGUAAAAAUUUUAUAAAAUAAGCAAGUUGUCAUAAAAUAUUCUGUUGGUAGGGGAAUAUUCUUUUUGUCGGGGAAUAUCCGUACGACGAAGAAAUCAUUAAUGGACCACAUAACGGAAAAAUUGUCGAAUAUAGAAGCGACAAAAAUAAUCUUUUUAUAAAAAUAAUGGCAAGACUUUUAUCGUUAAACUGUUGGAAUAUUCGGUGAUAAAAGAACAGUAAUACGCGUUAUUACACAGUAGUACACGGUAUUGCACAGUAUCUCUGAUUAUUGAUGCUUACGUAAUAAGUCACUCAAUUUCGUUCAAUUAUUAUCACAGUAUUAUCUGUAUAAUAUUUUAUAUUAUUAAAAUAAUAAUUGAGAUGACACAAUUAUUCAUAUUAUUAUUUGUAUUAUUGACAAUGUCUAGGAAGUUCUAUCAAGGAAAGGGGUUUGGUUAUUUAAUUGCGCGCCAGUAAGGAGAAAUCCUUAUCGAAAAGCCCCCUCUUUCCUGGGAACGAUCUGGUUGUCAAUAUUAUGAGUUAUAAUAUUAAAUGAUGAAUAAUUGUUGAAAGAUUAAAAAUGUGUUGUGGUAAUUAUUUAUUUAAUUUUUUUAUAUAAAUAGAUGGGGUUUUCAUGAGGCGUUUGUUGUAAGUUUGACUUAUUAUUCAAUGGGGAGAUAUGCAAAUUUUUCAGACCAUCAGUUGAAGUUAUAAUAAUAAAUCAAUAUGGACUGUUGGUUGAAGUUAUAAUAGUAAAUCAAUAUGGACCGCUGAUUGAAGUUAUAAUAGUAAAUCAAUAUGGACCAUUCGUGAAUUUGUUACUAUUUAGUCCAUUCUCCUAUAAAUAAAAGUUCAUUACUUCAUUCUUUUUUACGAAUUCACUAAACUAUAAAGAGAGAAACUAUAGAGAGAAAGAAGAAGAGUAUUCUGUUACUUCACUAUUGUAAGACCUCAACUUUUAUGAAUAAAAAUGAAUUUUCUAUAAUUAUCAUUUUUGAAUAUUAUGGAAUGAAUUUGAUAUAAUGUUAUAGUUGUGGGUAAUAUUUAUAAAUUUUGCAUAGUACGCAAGUUGUUAUAUAAUAUUCGAUUGGUCGGGGAAUAUUCAUUUUAACAGGAAAUAUUCGUACGACGACACAAUCAUUGGUGGACCCCACAACAAAAUUAUUGUCGGAUUGAGAAAAUGACAAAAAUAUUUUUAUGAAAAUAACGGCGGAAGUUUUACCGUUGAUACUGUUGAACUACUCGGUAGUAAAAGUACAGUAAUACACGUGGUUGCAUAGUAGCACACGAUAUUGAUUAUUGAUGCUUACGUUAGAAGUCAUUCAGUUUUAUUCAAUUAUUGUCGAUAUUUUAUAUGUUAUUAAAUCAAUAAUUGAGAUGACAGAUUUAUUAAUAUUAUUAUUUGCAAUAUUAACGAUGUCUAGAAGUUCUGCCAAGGAGAGGUUUGGUUACCUAAUUGUGCGCCAAUUGGGAGAAAUCCUUAUUGGAAAGCCCCCUCUUUCCUGGAAACGACCUGGUCGGUUAAUAGUGUGAAUAAUAAUAAUGAUGAUGAAGUUUUGUUUUAUUCGUAUUAUUAACGUAUUAAAGCAGAAAAACUUUUUAUAUAAAACAGAAUACUUUUAUAAAGUUAUUCAUUUUAUUAGGCUAAUAGUAAAAUAUUUUUAUAUAAAACAGAAUACUUUUAUAAAGAUAUCUGUUUUAUUAGACAAUAAUUAGAAUAUAUUAUAUUUUAUUAGGCAUAGUGUUUGCAUAGUGCCUGCAUAGUAUUUGCAUAAUAAAUCUUUUUAAAAGUUAUUCAUUUUAUUAGAUUAUAAAUAGAAUAUAUUAUAUUUUAUUUAAAAGAUUUUGCUUUAAAUAUGGACCGUCCGAUUAAAGUAAAUCAAUCUGGACCGUUCAUGGAUUGGUUACUAUUCAUUUCAUUCUUCUAUAAAUAGAAGCUCAUUCCAUCAUUAUUUCUUACGAAUUCACUAGAACUCUAGAGAGAGAAACUAUAGAGAGAAAGAAGAAAAGUAUUCUGCUACUUCACUACUCCGAUAUCAAGUUUCUUUUACGGUAAGGAGUAUUAUUUUUUUUUUGUAUUCAUGAAGAGAACUUCUGUUAUUCCAUCUUUAUUAUUCUGUUGGAAUAACCUGUAUACGCGGGCUACCCUAUACUUGGUGAAAUUCUUCUGUAUUCCAUUCUUUGUUAUUCUGUUAGAAUAUCCUGUCUGUGCGUUUACGCUGGACCUGGUUCCGUCUUUAUUAUUCUGUUGGAAUAUCAUGUCUGUGCUUUACGUCGGACCUGAUUCCGUCUUUAUUAUUAUGUUGGAACAUUCUGUCGGUGUGAAUUUCACCUGACCUGGUUCCGUUAUUUAGUAUUCUGUUGGAAUAACAUGUCUAUGCGAAGUACCACAUGCAUGGUGACUUCUGUUGUUAUUACAUUCCUUAUUAUUCUGUUGGAACAUCCUGUCGGUGCGAAUUUCGCCUGACCUGGUUCUGUUAUUUAUUAUUCUGUUGGAAUAACCUGUCUAUGCGAAGUACCGCAUGCAUUGUGACUUCUGUUGUUAUUCCAUUCCUUAUUAUUAUGUUGGAACAUCUUGUCGGUGCGAAUUUCGCCUAACCUGGUUCCGUUAUUUAUUAUUCUAUUGGAAUAACCUGUCUAUGCGAAGUACCGCAUGCAUGGUGAUUUCUUUUGUUAUUCCAUUCUUUAUUAUACUCAGUUGGUUAAAGUUUUGACUUCUAUACUCCGUGAAAUUAGUGGAAUAUCCUUGAUAUUUGCGCUUCAUCCAGUAUCUUUUCAUGGAAAUAUUCUUCUGAGCAUUCUUGAAUUUUACUUUACAAAGAAGUAUCA